rnacentral:lncRNA from 1 species
GCAGAUUCUUGCUGUUUCAUGCACUUGUAUAUCUUGGUUCUCUUGUGUGCCGGCUGACAAGAUGGUGUAAGGAUCGCGCUGCUGCCUACGCUUCGGCCGCCCGUGUCACUCCACAUGGGCAAGGGCAACAAGAACACUAGUCUGUGCCUCGCCUCCCCAGGUCGUUCCCUGGUGCUUAUUUCCGUUCGUGGUGAUAGAUUUCACGGAUGUUUUCUCCGUCUUCGGCGAAGAGAUGGUGAUACAAGUGCAAAAUAGAUAGUAGAUAAAGGUUUUUGCAAUCAGAAAUAAUAAAAACAACAAGGUAACUAAUGAUAAAAGUGAGCGUAAACGGUAUUGCAAUGAUAGGAAACAAGGCCUAGGGUUCAUACUUUCACUAGUGCAAGUUCUCUUAACAAUAAUAACAUAGAUAGAUAAUAUAACAAGCCCUCAACAUGCAACAAAGAGUCACUCCGAAGCCACUAAUAGCGGAGAACAAACGUAGAGAUUAUGGUAGGGUACGAAAACCACCUCAAAGUUAUUCUUUCAAAUCAAUCUAUAAAAGAGUUCGUACUAGAAUAACAUCUUAAGACACAAAUCAACCAAAACCCUAAUGUCACCUAGAUACUCCAUUGUCACGUCAAGUAUCCGUGGGCAUGAUUAUACGAUAUGUGUCACACAAUCUCAGAUUCAUCCAACCAACAUAAAAGUACUUCAAAGAGUGCCCCAAAGUUUCUACCGGAGAGUCAAGAACGUGUGCCAACCCCUAUGCAUAGGUUCCCAAUGUCACGAAACCCGCAAGUUGAUCACCAAAACAUACAUCAAGUGGCACAUGAUAUCCCAUUGUCACCACAGAUAAUCACGGCAAGACAUACAUCAGGUGUUCUCAUAAAAAACUCAAUCCGAUAAGAUAACUUCAAAGGGGAAACUCAAUUCAUCACAAGAGAGUAGAGGGGGGAAACAUCAUAAGAUCCAACUACAAUAGCAAAGCUCGGGAUACAUCAAGAUCGUGCCAUUGAGGGAACACGAGAGAGAACACGAGAGAGAGAGAGAGAGAGAGAGAGAGAGAGAGAGAGAGAUCAAACACAUAGCUACUGGUACAUACCCUUAGCCACGAGGGUGAACUACUCCCUCCUCGUCAUGGAUAGCGCCGGGAUGAUGAAGAUGGCCACCGGUGAUGGGAUCCCCCUCCGGCAGGGCGCUGGAACGGGCUCCCGAGAGGUUUUUGGUGGCUACAGAGGCUUGCGGCGGCGGAACUCCCGAUCUAUCUUCUGUUCUGGAAGUUUUAGGGUACAAGAGUAUAUAUGGGUGCAGGGGGUACGUCGGAGGAGCUACGGGGGCCCCACGAGNNNNNNNNNNNNNNNNNNNNNNNNNNNNNNNNNNNNNNNNNNNNNNNNNNNNNNNNNNNNNNNNNNNNNNNNNNNNNNNNNNNNNNNNNNNNNNNNNNNNNNNNNNNNNNNNNNNNNNNNNNNNNNNNNNNNNNNNNNNNNNNNNNNNNNNNNNNNNNNNNNNNNNNNNNNNNNNNNNNNNNNNNNNNNNNNNNNNNNNNNNNNNNNNNNNNNNNNNNNNNNNNNNNNNNNNNNNNNNNNNNNNNNNNNNNNNNNNNNNNNNNNNNNNNNNNNNNNNNNNNNNNNNNNNNNNNNNNNNNNNNNNNNNNNNNNNNNNNNNCCCCCACCCUCGUGAGCACCUCCCGUAUCUUUUGACGUGGGGUCCAAGUCCAUUAGGUGGGUUUCCUUCCAAAAAUAACUUCUCCAGUUGAUUUCGUUCCGUUUUGACUCCGUCUGAUAUUCCUUUUCCUCGAAACACUGAAAUAGGCAUAAAACAGCAAAUCUGGGCUGGGCCUCCGGUUAAUAGGUUAGUCCCAAAAAUAAUAUAAAAGUGGAUAAUAAAGCCCAAUAUUGCCUAAAAGAGUAGAUAAAGUAGCAUGGAGCAAUAAAAAAUUAUAGAUACGUUGGAGACGUAUCAAGCAUCCAUAAGCUUAAUUCCUGCUCGUCCUCGAGUAGGUAAAUGAUAAAAAAGAAUUUUUGAUGCGGAGUGAUACUUUGGCAUAAUUUCAAUGUAAAUAUCCUUAAUUGUGGUAUGAAUAUUCAGAUCCGAAAGAUUCAAGACAAAAGUUCAUAUUGACAUAAAAAUAAUAAUACUUCAAGCAUACUAAUAAAGCAAUCAUGUCUUCUCAAAAUAACAUGGCAAAAGAAAGUUCAUCCCUACAAAAUCAUAUAGUUAGGCUAUGCUUCAUUUUCGUCACACAAAGAUGUUCCCAACUUCUAUACCCCCGAUGACAAGCCAAGCAAUUGUUUCAUACUUAAAUAAUCUCAAACUUUUUUAACCUUCACGCAAUACAUGAGCGUGAGCCAUGGAUAUAGCACUAUGGGUGGAAUAGAAUAUGAUGAUGGGGAUUGUGUGGAGAAGACAAAAAGGAGAAAGUCUCACAUUGACGAGGAUAAUCAAUGGGCUAUGGAGAUGCCCACUAAUUUAUGUCAACAUGAGGAGUAGGGAUUGCCAUGCAACGGAUGCACUAGAGCUAUGAAUGCUCAACAAAAGAAAACUAGUGGGUGUGCAUCCAACUCGCUUGCUCAUGAAGACCUAGGGCAUUUGAGGAAGCCCAUCGUAGGAAUAUACAAGCCAAGUUCUAUAAUGAAAAAUUCCCACUAGUAUAAAAGACAACUUAUGAGACUCACUACAUGAAGAACAAGGUGCUACUUUGAAGCACAAUAUAUGAGACUCACUACAUGAGGAACAAGGUGCUACUUUGAAGAACAAGUGUGGAAAAAGAGAUAGUAGCAUUGGCCUUUUUAUUUUUUUUAUUAUUUAUUUUUUGGGGCCUUUGUUUUUCUUUUCUUUUUUUUGACCUUUCUCUUUUUUUGGGCAAUGCUCUAAUAAUGAUGAUCAUCACACUUCUAUUGAUUACAACAUAAGGAUUACAACUCGAAACUUAGAACAAGAUAUGACUCUAUAUGAAUGGCUCCGGCGGUGUACCGGGAUGGUGCAAUGAAUCAAGAGUGACAUGUAUGAAGAAUAAUGCAUGGUGGCUUUGCCACAAAUACGAUGUCAACUACAUGAUCAUGCAAUGGCAAUAUGACAAAAGUAAUGUAUGUCAUGAUGAUGAUGAUGGAAGUUGCAUGGCAAUAUAUCUCGGAAUGGCUAUGGAAAUGCCAUGAUAGGUAGGUAUGGUGGCUGUUUUGAGGAAGAUAUAAAGAGGUUUAUGUGUGAUAGAGCGUAUCGUAUCACGGGGUUUGGAUGCACCGGCGAAGUUUGCACCAACUCUCAAGGUGAGAAAGGGCAAUGCAUGGUACCGAAGAGGCUAGCAAAGGUGGAAAGGUAAAAGUGUGUAUAAUCCAUGGACUCAACAUUAGUCAAAAGAACUCAUAUACUUAUUGCAAAAAUUUAGAAGUCAUCAAAAACCAAGUACUACGCGCAUGCUCCUAGGGGGAUAGAUUGGUAGGAAAAGACCAUCGCUCGUCCCCGACCGCCACUCAUAAGGAUGCACAAGCCAGGUACACUUCAUGUUUGAAAUUUGUUACACAACUUUAACCAUACGUGCAUGCUACGGGACUUGCAAACUUCAACACAAGCAUUUCUCAAAUUCACAAUUACUCAACUAACACGACUUUGAUAUUAUUACCUCCAUAUCUCAAAACAAUUAUCAAGCAUCAAACUUAUCUUAGUAUUCAACUCACUCAAAAGAAAGUUUCACAUAUCUUGAAUACCAAGUAUAUUAAUAUUAAGCAAAUCACCAUGCUAUUAACGACUCUCAAAAUAAUAUAAGUGAAGCAAGAGAGUUAAUCUAUUUCUUAAAAAUAAAACUACCACCGUGCUCUAAAAGAUAUAAGUGAAGAACUAGAGCAAACAACAAACUACUCCAAAAGAUAUAAGUGAAGAUCAAUGAGUAGUCGAAUAAUUAUGCAACUAUGCGAAGACUCCCCCAUUUAAAAAUUUCAGAUCUUGAUACUUUAUUCAAACAGCAAGCAAAGCUAAAGAAAAUAAAAUGACGCUCCAAGCAAAACACAUAUCAUGUGGUGAAUAAAAAUAUAGCUUCAAGUAAAGUUACCGAUGAACGAAGACGAAAGAGGGGAUGCCAUCCGGGGCAUCCCCAAGCUUAGGCUCUUGGUUAUCCUUGAAUAUUACCUUGGGGUGCCUUGGGCAUCCCCAAGUUUAGGCUCUUGCCACUCCUUAUUCCAUAGUCCAUCGAAUCUUUACCCAAAACUUGAAAACUCCACAACACAAAACUCAACAGAAAACUCGUAAGCUCCGUUAGUAUAAGAAAAUAAAACCACCACUUAGGUACUGUAAUGAGCUCAUUCUAAAUUCAUAUUGGUGUAAUAUCUACUGUAUUCCAACUUUUUUAUGGUUCAUACCACUUAAUACUAGCCAUAGAUUCAUCAAAAUAAGCAAACAACACAUAGAAAAUAGAAUCUGUCAAAAAUAGAACAGUAAUGUAUACUUAUGGAGCUCCAAAAAUCCUACCAAAUUAGGAAGUCCUAAGCAAUUCAUGUACCAAUCCAUAUAAAAAAGAAUCAGAUCAGAAUCACGUUUCUGUGAAUUAACAAAACUAAUUUACUGAGUGCAAAAGUUUCUAAUUUUCAGCAGGAUCAACACAACUAUAAAACAUGAUGUGGGGUCCAAGUCCAUCAGGUGGGUUUCCUUCCAAAAAUAACUUCUCCAGUUGAUUUCUUUCCGUUUUGACUCCGUCUGAUAUUCCUUUUCCUCGAAACACUGAAAUAGGCAUAAAACAACAAAUCUGGGCUGGGCCUCCGGUUAAUAGGUUAGUCCCAAAAAUAAUAUAAAAGUGGAUAAUAAAGCCCAAUAUUUCCUAAAACAAUAGAUAAAGUAGCAUGCAACAAUCAAAAAUUAUAGAUACGUUGGAGACGUAUCAGUCCACCAUACCUACCUAUGGAUUGAGUAAGAUCCUUCAAGUAAGUUGUCAUCGGUGCAAGCAAUAAAAAUUGCUCUCUAAAUAUGCAUGACUUAUUAGUGCGGAGUAAAUAAGCUUUGUACGAUCUUGUUAUGGAAGCAAUAAAAGCGACGGACUGCAUAAUAAAGGUCCAUAUACAAGGGGCAAUAUAAAGUGACAUUCUUUCGCAUUAAGAUUUUGUGUAUCCAACCCUAAAAGCGAAUGACAACCUCUGCUUCCCUCUGCGAAGGGCCUAUCUUUUACUUUUAUGCAAGAGUCAAGGUGAUCUUCACCUUUCCCUUUUUCAUCUUAUCCUUUGGCAAGCACUUUGUGUUGGGGUGAUCCUGAUAUAUAUAUAUAUAUAUAUAUAUAUAUAUAUAUAUAUAUAUAUAUAUAUAUAUAUCCAAUUGGAUGUAAGUUAGCAUGAACUAUUAUUGUUGACAUCACCCAAAGGUGAAUACAUUGGGAGGCAACACUAUAAGCCCCUACCUUUCUCACUGUCCGACUGAAACUCCAUAACCAUUAGUAUUGCGUGAGUGUUAGCAAUUGUAAAAGACUAUACGAUAGUUGAGUAUGUGGAGUUUGCUAUUCCUGAAAAUAAGAUGAAUUGCAAUUGUUUGAUGACUAAGAAUGAAGUUUGCUAGUUUUCAAGAAAGUUUAUGGUCUAUGCUUUAACAUGUGAAUUGCUUGUUACUUGUUCAUGAGAAGUUUUAUGAGAUAAACUAUUGUUAUGACAUAUUAUCAUGCUAGAAAAGGUGAUUGAAAUUAUCAUUGAUCAAACUUGUGCACCUUCUAGCAUUCACACUUCAUAAAUUCUUUCUUUUAUCAUUUGCCUACUCGAGGAUGAGUAGGAAUUAAGCUUGGGGAUGCUGAUACGUCUCCAACGUAUCUAUAAUUUAUGAAGCAUUCAUGCUAUUUUAUUAUCUGUUUUGAAUGAUUAUGGGAUUUAUUAUACACUUUUAUAUUACUUUUGGCACUAACCUAUUAACCGGAGGCCCAUUCCAUAUUGCUGUUUUAUUGCUUGUUUCAGUAUUUCGAGGAAAAGGAAUAUCAAAUGGAGUCCAAACGGAAUGAAACCUUCGGCAGCAUGAUUUUUUGGAAGAAUAUCAUCCUGGAGACUUGGAGUUCACGUCAGAAGAUCCUCGAGGAUGCCAGGAGAUAGGGGGCAUGCCCCUCCUACUGGGCGCACCCCCCCUGUCUUGUGGGCCCCUCGAGCACCCCCCGACCGACUUCUUUCGCCUAUAUAAGCCUACGUACCCUAAAACCAUCGAAUAUCAUAGUAGAUCGGGAGUUUCGCCGCCGCAAGCCUCUGUAGCCACCAAAAACCUCUCGGGAGCCCGUUUCGGCACCCUGCCGAAAGGGGAACCCAUCACCGGUGGCCAUCUUCAUCAUCCCGGCGCUACCCAUGACGAGGAGGGAGUAGUUCACCCUCGGGGCUGAGGGUAUGUACCAGUAGCUAUGUGUUUGAUCUCUCUCUCUCUCGUGUUCUCUCUAUGGCACGAUCUUGAUGUAUCGCGAGCUUUGCUAUUAUAGUUGGAUCUUAUGAUGUUUCUCCCCCUGUAUUCUCUUGUGAUGAAUUGAGUUUCCCUCUUGAAGUUAUCUUAUUGGAUUGAGUCUUUAUGAUGAGAACACUUGAUGUAUGUCUUGCCGUGUUUAUCUGUGGUGACAAUGGCAUAUCACGUGCCACUUGAUGUAUGUUUUGGUGACCAACUUGCGGGUUCCGCCCAUGAACCUAUGCAUAGGGGUUGGCACACAUUUUCUUGACUCUCCGGUAGAAACUUUGGGGCACUCUUUGAAGUACUUUGUGUUGGUUGGAUGAAUUUGAGAUUGUGUGACGCAUAUCGUAUAAUCAUGCCCACGGAUACUUGAGGUGACAAUGGAGUAUCUAGGUGACAUUAGGGUUUUGGUUGAAUUGUGUCUUAAGGUGUUAUUCUAGUAUGAACUCUAUGAUGGAUUGAGCGGAAAGAAUAGCUUUAUGUUAUUUUACUACGAACUCUUGAAUAGAUAGAACAGAAAGGAUAACUUUGAGGUGGUUUCGUACCCUACCAUAAUCUCUAUGUUUGUUCUCUGCUAUUAGUGGCUUUGGAGUGACUCUUUGUUGCAUGUUGAGGGCUUGUUAUAUGAUCUAUCUAUGUUAUUAUUGUUGAGAGAACUUGCACUAGUGAAAGUAUGAACCUUAGGCCUUGUUUCCUACCAUUGCAAUACCAUUUACACUCACUUUUAUCAUUAGUACCUUGCUGUUUUUAUUAGUUCAGAUUACAAAAACCUUUAUCUUCCAUCCAUAUUGCACUUGUAUCACCAUCUCUUCGCCGAACUAGUGCACCUAUACAAUUUACCAUUGUAUUGGGUGUGUUGGGGACACAAGAGACUCUUUGUUAUUUGGUUGCAGGGUUGCUUGAGAGAGACCAUCUUCAUCCUACGCCUCCCACGGAUUGAUAAACCUUAGGUCAUCCACUUGAGGGAAAUUUGCUACUGUCCUACAAACCUGUGCACUUGUAGGCCAAACAACGUCUACAAGAAGAAGGUUUUGUAGUAGACAUUAGUGCCCGGUCCUAAGAUGACCUUUGUGCUCGGUGCUGAGGACAUGGACUUUGGUGCGACACAGACCAAUCCGAAGGUGGUAGCCGUGGGAACAAACAACUUGUCGGUGGUGCCCGACCCCGUUCCGCCCUCCCAGUGGACGUGCAUCCUAGAUUUGAGAUUUUCGCAAGCCGCCCCCGAUGCGUCCAUGAUGGCCGACUCACCACAGCUCCAAAGGCAUCGGGUGACAUCAGGCUAUGUAGGCUCCGGGCGUGCCCACACAUUGUUCAAUGGAAUGCCUGACCAAGAGCAAGUGCAAUCUUUGCCUCAUUCACGCUUGCAUUCGUAAAUUGUUUUUUUGCACAUACCAUCACAUCAAUGUUGUAGGAUGAUAGUUAAAUUGCGAUGCAUAUUGUAGGAACAAAUAUUGCAUAACAUGAUAAAUGAUGGUCAAGAGUCUUUGCAAUUUACCAUGGAAGAUACCAAUUCCUUGGUGUUUGAAGUGGAAAACGUCACAUACUAAAAGAAGAAGAUAGUGAAGCCAAGAGGUCUAGCAUUCACAUAAUUUAAAGAUGUUUUGUUGUGUGAAAGUUGAUGUAACACUAGCAUGGAUCUGAUAUGUGGAACUAAGCAAAAAAUGCAAGAAGUAUUGGAAACAUUCUCAAACUAUAGCAUGAGAAAAAACAUUACGUGAAGCCACACCCAAUUGCUAGCAACCAUGUCUCGUGCUCUGUCCAACAUAGAUGGUCACUCAUCCAAGAUUCCAUGAGCAAAUUUGUCCAUUAACUCAAACAAGUUGUUGGCCGGGACCAAAGCGGCAUCGGAGUUCAAACCCAUGCAGCUUUUACUACGGCUUUGUACCAUCAAGUAGAGAAGAAGACAUUCACUUUUUCAUAUUGUUGCAUGAAAUUGACUGGGAAACCCAAGUGGAAAAGCUUCCUCGAGGAGAUUAAAAUCGGCACGGUAAGCUUGUCAGGAAGAUUGUGUUUUGAGUCAAGACGCUGGGCACGGUAACCCGACAGUGGAUUCUCGUUAGCCGGAGAAGUGUCUUGGCAAUAAAACCAUGUCUGGUUCCAAUCUUUAGGGUGACUCGGCAAGAAAGCAUAAGGAAAGAUGGCAUCUCUUCUCCGUUGAAUUGAGAUUCCGCCAAGUUCCAAGCUGGGUCCGUUCGUAAACUCAUUUUGGUGGUUCAAAUAAAAAUAUUCCCUAAACAAUUCAACACUGGGCUCUUCUUGAAGGUAUACUUUGCAGAAGACUUGAAAAUUGCGGAUAUUUGACACGGAAUUGGGUCCGAUGUCUUGAGGAUGAAGUUCAAAGAAGUGCAGAACAUCUCGGAAAAAUUUAGAACCGGGCGGUGAGAAGCCCCGGUUCAUGUGAUCAGUAAAAACAAUGACUUCACCAUCCUUUGGCUGAGGUUUUCCUUCUUCUGGAUCAGUGGCACGAUAAUGCACGACAGUCUUUUCUGGUAAAUAGCCAGUUUUCACAAAGUCCUUAAGUGUGUCCUCAGUGACAAUGGAGGGAACCCAGUUACAUGAAGUGGAUGUCUUCGGCGCCAUUGUGAAGAAAGAAGCCUAAAACAAAGAAUAAUUUUGCCAGUUUAAGUUGAUUCAUUAAGCCGGAGGUAAAACACUACAGUACAUAUUCAGCAUGGCGGCUUAAAAGGGGCCUAAUGACAUAUGACUAGUUAUAACUGGUGAGGUAAGCUGCCAUGACAAUAUUGACAAUUAAGAUCUCUCAAGAAGGAAAAUUUUUGCUAAGUGAGGGACAAACCGAUUUCACAGACUAAAGCUAUAAUUUCGGAUCUAUGGCAGUUUAGAAAAUGCAAUAAAUUCUAAACCUAAAUAUCGCAGCAGCAGGAGAACUAGCACAAGGGCGAGAUGUUUUGCAUCUGUAAAGCAAGUUUUGAGAUAAACAGAAGGAGUGGAAACAGGUUCCGCGCGUCCUAAGGGAUAUAUUUGGAUCUAAAAUAAGACCUAACUAGAAGUACAGUGAAGAACGACGAAGAACUCGAAGAACUACAAAAACCCUAAUGGAGAUCUAUGGUGGAGAGGAUAAGGGGCUUACUGGAUCCGAGGAGCAAUGAGGAGGCACUACAGUUUCUCUGGCCCCGUUCAGGUCGAUGCAGCGGCCAAGGACGAGGAAGACGGUGAGCUUGUGGUGGCAACGGAGCUCGAAGCGGCAUAUGAGUCGUGAGAGGAGGAGGAAGACGAGAAGGAAAGCGGGGAGAGAAUGAAAGGAGGUUGUUUGACCCUAUUUAUAAGGAGAAGGGUGAACAGGUAGGCGCGAAAAAUGAGGAGGCCAAAACAUGAUUAUCCAGCGGUUCGGACACCUUGAUUUUCGGAAAGGUCAUUAAAGACAAAGAUCCGUUAAGAUAUGUUGGAUAUUGUGUAGAAUUAAACGGCAGAUGACGUCAUGGUGGGUUACCGCAAUCGGAGGAGAUGAUGUCAUGGCGGGUUAUGAGUUCUCACGCAAAUGAAGAAGGGAAGAUUCUUUCUAAGUGUUGAAGAUUGACAUGAACAAGUUCAAAUCAACCUGGGGCCUAAAUGUUGGGGAUAUGACUAUUAGGUAUGACCCGCCCAGGAGGGGCCGGGUUAUACCUAUGGCGAUUCAACCAUACGAAGCCCAUGAGGAUACUAAGAUGGCGGUUCACAGGCAAGGGCCCAAGGCGCAAGGGCGACUUAAGGCCCGUAGGAGUAAACCGCUAUAUGUAUAUGACUUGUAUUGUAAGGCAGGUAUAGUUAGUCACCGAGCCGGACACGUUGUCUAUGAGCCGGCCGGGACUCCAUGAGCCACUGGGCGUCAACCUGUAUAUAUAAAGGGACGACCCGGCAGUGGUUCAGGGCAAGAAAACAAGAGAUCGAAAGCUAGGUCAAGUGGAUUCGCUCCCUGGUAAUUGAGACAUAAGCAAUACCACCUUAAACUGGAUUAGGCCUUUACCUUCACCGCAAGGGGCCGAACCAGUAUAAACUCAUGUGUCCUUUGUCCCAUUUAACCCAUUUAAGCUAACCUAGUCGCGGUGGCUCCACGACUAAGUCCUCACACUAGGACAUCUGUCGUGACUAUUCCACGACAAUCAUCGUUUGGUUACAAGGUAACCCAUCGGGCAAGAGAGUCCGAGGGACUCGGUGCACCAGUUGAUUUCACUGCAUCAGUAGCAUGAAUUGCAUUGCAUUAAUCUAAAUAAUUGUCAUGAUAUUGUUUGCCAUUAUGCUUAUGUUUGUUGUGAUCUUGCAAGUACAUUCAAUGUACUGACCAGGCGUGUCAUGCCAGAUUUCAGGCAAGUCGUAUCGGAUCGGAGAGCUUCCCGCGUCUAGAUCGUGUCCACAUCGGUGUCCCUGUGCCAUGGAGUUCCACUUCAUCGUCAUUCCGCUGCCGUGUAGUUUAUGUGACCGAGGCCCCUUCAUGUUCAUUAAAUAAUGUACAUAUUGUUCAGCCGCACCGUGUGUGCUGCUUGGCCUCGCAACUGGAUGUAAUAUCAGACCUAUGUUCCCGCUAGCAUCAAUAAAAGCGGUUGUUUUCUGUACCAUGUUGUUGUGUGUUGCCAGAAGACUUGUUCUCUGGGCUGGAAAUGCAAGGUAAACCGGUUGCUCUGAGCCGGGGUGCUACAACCACCACAUUCCCAUUUUAAUGCAAGGAGCAGACUCCAAAGAUUUGGGAUCGAUGGUGUUGCGAUGGGUUGGUAACAAACCUGGCCAUCCACGCCGAAUCAUGGGUCGGACCGAUAGCACGCAUGCUAGCAUGUAACAUGACUAAAUAGGUGGUUUCUAUCGGUGUUCUGGGAACGGGGUCCCCAGACUUGCCUGCAUGCGGCCUGCAGCGUGGCUCACCAGCGGCCCAGUACGGCCCGUCUUCUUCAACCCAAGUUCAAGACCCUCGCGAGGGGCCAAGACUCACGAGGCGGAUGACACAAGGCCACAUCAGGGGCGGCCUCACCAGGCAGGCUCGCGAGGAGGCGGAGAGAUCAAGGCGAGGGUUACCUCGCGAGGUGCUCAUGACGCAAGCCAUGACGAUCAAGACCAGGCGGGCGCCAGCCUGUGCAGUGUCCUUGUUUCCUCUUUGGUGCAAAGGGGGCAAGUGAUAACCCACUCGUAUAGGGGAUCACAACAGUUUUCGAGGGUAGAGUAUUCAACCCAAAUUUAUUGAUUCGACACAAGGGGAGCCAAAGAAUAUUCUCAAGUAUUAGCAGUUGAGUUGUCAAUUCAACUAUACCUGGAUAACUUAGUAUCUGCAGCAAAGUAUUUAGUAGCAAAGUAGUAUGAUAAUAAUGGUAACAGUGGCAAAAGUAACAAUAGCAGUUUUGUAGUAGUUGUAACAGUAGCAACGGUAAAGUAAAUAAGGAAAGCACAAUAUGUGAAAAGCUCGUAGGCAUUGGAUCAGUGAUGGAUAAUUAUGUCGGAUGCGAUUCCUCAUGUAAUAGUUAUAACAUAGGGUGACAUAGAACUAGCUCCAGUUCAUCAAUGUAAUGUAGGCAUGUAUCCGAAUAUAGUCAUACGUGCUUAUGGAAAAGAACUUGCAUGCCAUCUUUUGUCCUACCCUCCCGUGGCAGCGGGGUCCUAGUGGAAACUAAGGGAUAUUAAGGCCUCCUUUUAAUAAAGUACCAGACCAAAGCAUUAGCACUUAGUGAAUACAUGAACUCCUCAAACUACGGUCAUCACCGAGAAGUAUCCCGAUUAUUGUCACUUCGAGGUUGUUGGAUCAUAACACAUAAUAGGUGACUAUAGACUUGCAAGAUAGGAUCAAGCACUCACAUAUAUUCAUGAAAACAUAAUAGGUUCAGAUCUGAAAUUAUGGCACUCGGGCCCUAGUGACAAGCAUUAAGCAUAGCAAAGUCAUAGCAACAUCAAUCUCAUAACAUAGUGGAUACUAGGGAUCAAACCCUAACAAAACUAACUUGAUUACAUGGUAAAUCUCAUCCAACACAUCACCGUCCAGCAAGCCUUCGAUGGAAUUACUCACGCACGGCGGUGAGCAUCAUGAAAUUGGUGAUGGAGGAUGGUUGAUGAUGACGACGACGACGAAUCCCCCUCUCCGGAUCCCCGAACGGACUCCAGAUCAGCCCUCCCGAAAGAGAUUGGGGCUUGGCGGCAGCUCCGUAUCGUAAAACGCGAUGAAACUUUCUCUCUGAUUUUUUUCUCCACGAAAGCAAAUAUAUAGAGUUGGAAUUGAGGUCGGUGGAGCACCAGGGGGCCCACGAGGCAGGGGGAGCACCCAGGGGGAGGGGGUGCGCCCCCACCCUCGUGGACAGGGUGUGGGCCCCCUGGCCUUGAUUCUUUCGCCAGUAUUUUUUAUAUUUUCCAAAAGUAAUCUCCGUGGAUUUUCAGGUCAUUCCGAGAACUUUUGUUUUCUGCACAAAAUAACACCAUGGCAGUUCUUCUGAAAACAACGUCAGUCCGGGUUAGUUUCAUUCAAAUCAUGCAAGUUAGAGUCCAAAACAAGGGCAAAAGUGUUUGGAAAAGUAGAUACGUUGGAGACGUAUGAACUCCCCCAAGCUUAAACCUUUGCUUGUCCUCAAGCAAUUCAGUUGAUAAACUGAAAGUGAUAAAGAAAAACUUUUACAAACUUUGUUUGCUCUUGUUGUUGUAAAUAUGUAAAGCCAGCAUUCAAGUUUUCAGCAAAGAUUAUGAACUAACCAUAUUCACAAUAACACUUAGGUCUCAUGUUUACUCAUAUCAAUGGCGUAAUCAACUAGCGAGCAAUAAAAAUAAAUCUCGGAUGACAACACUUUCUCAAAACAAUCAUAAUAUGAUAUAACAAGAUGGUAUCUCGCUAGCCCUUUCUAAGACCGCAAAACAUAAAUGCAGAGCACCUUUAAAGAUCAAGGACUGACUAAACAUGGUAAUUCAUGGUAAACGAGAUCCAGUCAAGUCAUACCCAACAUAAACUAGUAGUAAUGCAUGCAAAUGACAGAGGUGCUCUCCAGCGGGUGCUUUUUAAUAAGAAGGUGAUGACUCAACAUAGAAGUAAAUAGAUAGGCCCUUCGCAGAGGGAAGCAGGGAUUUGUAGAGGUGCCAGAGCUCGAUUUUAAAAUUGAGAUGAAUAACAUUUUGAGCAGUAUACUUUCACUGUCAAUGCAACAACUAUGAGAUCUCGAUAUCUUCCAUGCUACAUACAUUAUAGGCGGUUCCCAAACAGAAUGGUAAAGUUUAUACUCCCCCACCACCAACAAGCAUCAAUCCAUGGCUUGCUCGAAACAACGAGUGCCUCCAACUAGCAACAGCCCUGGGAGAGUUUUGUUUAAUUAUUUCGAAUUGCAUUGAUCUUUUUGAUCAUGGGACUGGGCAUCCCGAUUACCAGCCAUUUUCUCGUGAAUGAGGAGCAGCGUCCACUCCCCUUGAGAAUAACCCACCUAGCAUGGAAGAUACAGACAACUCUAGUUGAAACAUGAGCUGCUCGAGCAUACAAAACAGAAUUUCAUUUGAAGGUUUGGAGAUUGGCACAUACAAAUUUACUUGGAACCGCAGGUAAAUACCGCAUAUAGGAAGGUAUGGUGGACUCAUAUGGAAUAACUUUGGGGUUUAUGGAGUUUGGAUGCACAAGCAGUAUUCCCGCUUAGUACAGGUGAAGGCUAGCAGAAGACUGGGAAGCGAUCAACUGAGAGAGCGACAACAGUCAUGAACAUGCAUUAAAAUCAAUCAACACUGAGUGCAAGCAUGAGUAGGAUAUAAUCCACCAUGAACAUAAAUAUCGUGAAGGCUAUGUUGAUUUGUUUUCAACUACAUGUGUGAACAUGUGCCAAGUCAAGUCACUCGAAUCAUUCAAAGGAGGAUAACACCCUAUCAUACCACACCACAACCAUUUUAAUAGCAUGUUGGCACACAAGGUAAACCAUUAUAAGCUCCUAGCUAAUUAAGCAUGGCAUAAGCAACUAUAAUCUCUAAUUGUCAUUGCAAACAUGUUUAUUCAUAAUAAGCUGAAUCAGGAACGAUGAACUCAUCAUAUUUACAAAAACAAGAAAGGUCGAGUUCAUACCAGCUUCUCUCAUCUCAAUCAGUCCAUCAUAUAUCGUCAUUAUUGCCUUUCACUUGCACGACCGAACAAUGUGUAUAAUAAUAAUAUUGCACGUGCAUUGGACUAAGCUGGAAUCUGCAAGCAUUCAAUUCAAGGGAGAAGACAAAGUAAUAUGGGCUCUAGGUUAAAUCAACAAUCAUGCAUAUGAGAACCACUAAACAUUUUCAUUAUGGUCUUCUGCUCUCGACCCCCAAAGGAAAGAAAAGAAAUAAAACUAUUUACACGAGAAAGCUCCCAACAAGCAAAAGAAGAACGAGAAAUGUUUUUGGGUUUUAUUUUUAAUUAUUACUACAAGCAUGGAAAUUAAACUAACUAUUUUUUUGUUUUUCUUAAGGUUUAUCAAACACACAAGUAGAAAGCAAGAAAAAUAAAUUAAACUAGCAUGGAUAAUACAAUGAAAAAGUAUGAGCACCGACAACUAGAAUAAGUGUGUGAACAUGAAUGUAAUGUCGGUGAGAGAUACGUACUCCCCCAAGCUUAGGCUUUUGGCCUAAGUUGGUCUAUGGCCAUGGACCGCGGCUACUCUCCCCGGUGUACUGAGGAGUGUCAUCUGGAUACCACUGGCUGGCGAUCUCCUCCGGAUCCCACUGAUAACAUGAUGGUCGAUAAGGGUCAAGUGGUGGUUCCGGCUCAGGCUCUGGAGCUGAUGUCUAGCCUUGGUGGGCGUACACUGCCGUCGGCAGGACAAGGUAAUGGCCUACAAUUAAAUCAAAUAAAGAAGGUGCGAGUAGGGUAAUAAUCUCAUUGUGUUUCUUAUUAAAUCUCAGGUUAUACAGAAGCAUCUUAUCAUCAUUGUCAACGAUAAACUCAUGCGCUACCAUGCUCCUGUAAUCUAAAAAGGUAAGAGGCAGUGGUGUCCCCUCUUUCUCAUAAUGCCUAAUAGGUAUCUUGAAAUGUUUAGCAAGGCGUGCAACAUCGAUACCUCCAAAGAUGGGGACCUUUGUACUGUUCAGGCUUAAUAGUUUAGCAAUAACGGCACCCAUACUAAAAGUGUUAUCACAAAAUAAUGCAUGGAACAGAAAUAUCAGGAACACUGAGGUUUCCACAGUUUCCACGACCAAUUAUGCAUCGACUAGCAAAUAUGGCAAAGUAGUGUAAAACAGGAAAAUGUAUGCUAGUUAUUCUUGCAUCGAAAACCUUCCUCGAUUCCCCUACAUUGAUAGUGUCAAUAAAACCACCCACAUCUUUAUGAUGUGGUUCAUCUAAGCUACCCUUGAAGGGUAUUCUACAAACCGCGCAAAAGUUGCGUAAUGACAUUUCCUUAGCCUCAUCAUAUAAAUGAAAAGAUACUGAAGGAGGUGAAUUCAUAGGAUAAUAGUAAAAGUUUUGCACGAAAGUAUUGGUAAGUAAGAGAUAUUGUUCGAUCCGGUCGUGGAGGAAGUUGGUGAGGCCCGCAUUAUCAGCCAAAGAAUAAAAGUCUUCAUAAAUCCCGGCUGCUCUCAAGAAAUUAUCAGAAGGCCACUCACACGGCCUUACUUCCGCUACGCGAGGAAGAUUAUACUUGGCAUUUUCUUUCUCCUUAGCUUGUUUAUCCUUAGAGCCUUGGCUAGAAGAGCCCCUCAAUAAUCUCCUCAUCAUUUUCUGAAAUUUUUAGUAAUUCAAAAUAAAAGUGAAUCAAACUAAACAAGAUUGAUAGCAACUACUACCACAAGUGCCUAGAGCCUAUAUCAUGCAUUAGAAUUGCUUGGGACCUCAUAAAUUUGACAUGCAAGCUCAAGAACAGGGUCACCUAGGCAGCAAAAAUUUGCGAUGAAUAAAGCACUAGAACAAAAACUAAUUGGACCAUUGGAGGAGUCACAUACCAAAGAACAAUCUCCCAAAGCAGUUUUGUGAAAGGAGCUUUGAAAAAUGAGAUCGAAAAUCGCAGCAAAAUGCGCUAGAACUCGUGCUUGAGCUGGAUGGGGAUUUUUUUGGGAGGAAGAUGGAGUGUGUGGGUGCAGGAAUAAGUGGAGGGGGGCCACCGUGGGCCCACGAGGUAGAGGGCGCUCCCAGUCAGAGUGGGCGCGCCCUGGACCCUCGUGGCCAGGUGCUUGCCCCCCCUGCUGUGUUCUUAGUGCCUAAAAUCCUCAAAUAUUCCCUAAAAAACCAUACUAAAUUUGCAGGGCAUUUGGAGAACUUUUAUUUUCAGGAUAUUUUUUAUUGCAUGGAUAAUUCAGAAAACAGACAGAUAAUACUAUUUUUGCUUUAUUUAUUCUAAAUAACAGAAAGUAAAAAAAGAGGGUACAGAAGGUUGUGCAUUCUAGUUUCAUCCAUCUCAUGAUCAUCAAAAGGAAUCCACUAACAAGGUUGAUCAAGUCUUGUUAACAAACUCAUUCCGAAUAACAUGGAACCGGAGAAAUUUCGAAUAACACUAGGUUACCUCAACGGGGAUAUGAACAUCCCCAGUAAUAAGAAUAUCAUAUCUUUUCUUGACAGUAGGAAGAGGAAAUUCAAAACCUCCAAUAAUGAUAGUUGGAACUUUUCCAACAGAAUUGAUGCUAUGAACUUGAGGUUGUUUCCUCGGAAAGUGUACCGUAUGCUCAUUACCAUUAACAUGAAAAGUGACAUUGCCUUUGUUGUAAUCAAUAACAGCCCCUGCAGUAUUCAAAAAGAGUCUACCAAGGAUAAUCGACAUACCAUCAUCCUCGGGAAUAUCAAGAAUAACAAAGUCCGUUAAGAUAGUGACAUUUGCAACCACAACAGGCACGUCCUCACAAAUACCGACAAGUAUAGCAGUUGAUUUGUCAGCCAUUUGCAAAGAUAUUUCAGUGGGUGUCAACUUAUUCAAUUCAAGUCUACGAUAUAAAGAGAGAGGCAUAACACUAACACUGGCUCCAAGAUCACAUAAAGCAGUUUUAACAUAGUUUCUUUUAAUGGAGCAUGGUAUAGUUGGUACUCCUGGAUCUCCAAGUUUCUUUGGUACUCCACCCUUAAAAGUAUAAUUAGCAAGCAUGGUGGAAAUUUCAGCUUCCGGUAUCUUUAUUUUAUUUGUAAUGAUAUCCUUCAUAUAUUUAGCAUAAGGGUUUACUUUAAGCAUAUCAUUUAAGCGCAUACGUAAGAAGAUAGGUCUAAUCAUUUCAGCAAAGCGCUCGAAAUACUCAUCAUCCUUUUUCUUGGAUGGUUUAGGAGGAAAAGGCAUGGGUUUCUGAACCCAUGGUUCUCUUUCUUUACCGUGCUUCCUAGCAACAAAGUCUCUUUUAUCAUAAUGUUGAUUCUUUGAUUGUGGGUUAUGAAGAUCAACAACAGGUUCAAUCUCUACAUCAUUCUUAUUGCUAGGUUGAGCAUCAACAUGAACUUUAUUGCUAGGUUGAGCCUCAACAUGAACAUUAUCAUUAACAUUAUCACUAGGUUCAUGUUCAUCACCAGAUUGUGUUUCAGCAUCAAAAAUAGAAAUAUCGUUGGGAUUCUCAGGUGUGUCUACAACAGGUUCACUAGAAGCAUGCAAAGUCCUAUCAUUUUUCUUUUUCUUCUUUCUAGAAGGAAUGGGUGCAUCUACAUUAUUUCUCUGAGAAUCCUGCUCAAUUCUCUUAGGGUGGCCUUCAGGAUACAAAAGUUCCUGAGUCAUUGUACCAGUUCUAGUAGCCACUCUAACAGCAAAGUCAUGUUUAUUAUUUAAUUCAUCGAGCAAAUCACUUUGAGCUUUAAGUACUUGCUCCGCUUGAGUGGUAACCAUAGAAGCAUAUUUGCUAAUCAGUUUAAGUUCACCUUUAACUCUAGCCAUAUAAUCACUCAAGCGUCCAAUCAUGUAAGCAUUACUCUUUAAUUCUCUACCAACAUAAGCAUUAAAACUUUCUUGCCUAGCCAUAAAAUCAUCAAAUUCAUCUAAACAUUGGCUAGGAAAUUUAGUAGGCAGGAUUUCAACUUUAUCGUAUCUAUAGAGAGAAUUUACCUUUACUACCUGUGUCGGGUUAUCAAGACUAUGUGUUUCUUGAAUAGGCGGUAUAUUAAGACCAUGUAUUUCUUCAGUAGGAGGUAGAUCCUUAAAGUCUUCAGCUUUAAUACCUUUUGCUUUCAUAGAUUUCUUUGCCUCUUGCAUAUCGUCAGGACUCAGAAGUAGAACACCCCUCUUCUUCGGAGUUGGUUUAGGAUAGGCUCAGGAGUUGGCUCAAUUGGCUAAGGAAUUGGCUCAGGAAGAGUCCAAUUAUUUUCAUUAGUCAACAUAUUAUUCAAUAACACUUCAGCAUGGUCGACUGUUCUUUCCUUGAAAACACAACCAGCACAACUAUCCAAGUGGUCCUUGAAAGCAUCAGUUAGUCCAUUAUAAAAGAUAUCAAGUAUUUCAUUUUUCUUAAGAGGAUGAUAAGGGAAAGCAUUGAGUAAUCGGAGAAGCCUCCCCCAAGCUUGUGGGAGACUCCCUUCUUCGAUUUGCACAAAAUUAUAUAUUUCCCGCAAGGCAGCUUGUUUCUUAUGAGCAGGGAAAUAUUUAGCAGAGAAGUAAUAAAUCAUAUCCUGGGGACUACACACACAACCAGGAUCAAGAGAAUUAAACCAAGUUUUAGCAUCACCCUUUAAUGAGAACGGAAAUAUCUUAAGGAUAUAAUAGUAGCAAGAUUUCUCAUUGUUAGUGAACAGGGUGGCUAUAUCGUUUAACUUAGUAAGAUGUGCCACAACAGUUUCAGAUUCAUAGCCAUAAAAAGGAUCAGAUUCAACCAAAGUAAUUAUCUCAGGAUCAACAGAGAAUUCAUAGUCCUUAUCAGUAACAAAGAUAGGUGAAGUAGCAAAAGCAGGGUCAUAUUUCAUUCUAGCAUUCAGAGAUUGCUGCUUCCAUUUAGCUAAUAACUUCUUAAGAUCAUAUCUACAAUUGCAAGCAAGAAUAGCUCGAGCAGCUUCUUCAUCCAUAACAUAACCCUCAGGAACAACAGGAAAUUGAUACUUAGGGGGAGAACCUUCAUCAUCACUAUCUUCAAUAAUAUCAUCUUCAAUAAUUUCAUUCUCUCUAACCCUAGCAAGUUGUUCAUCUAGAAAUUCACUUAAUGGCAAAGUAGUAUCAAGCAUAGAAGUAGUUUCAUCAUAAGUAUCAUGCAUAGCAGAAGUGGCAUCAUCAAUAACAUGCAACAUAUAUAAAUUCAUAGCAGUAGCAGGUUUAGGUGUCGCAAGCUUACUCAAAACGGAAGGAGAAUCUAGUGCAGAGCUAGAUGGCAGUUCCUUACCUCCCCUCGUAGUUGAGGGAAAAAUCUUAGUUCUUUCGUCUUUCAAGUUCUUCAUAGUGAUCAUCAGAUAUAAAUCCCAAGUGACUCAAAGAACAAAGCUAUGCUCCCCUGCAACGCGCCAGAAAAUAGUCUUGAUAACCCACAAGUAUAGGGGAUCACAACAGUUUUCCAGGGUAGAGUAUUCAACCCAAAUUUAUUGAUUCGACACAAGGGGAGCCAAAGAAUAUUCUCAAGUAUUAGCAGUUGAGUUGUCAAUUCAACCACACCUGAAUAACUUAGUAUCUGCAGCAAAGUAUUUAGUAGCAAAGUAGUAUGAUAAUAAUGGUAACAGUGGCAAAAGUAACAAUAGCAGUUUUGUAGUAGUUGUAAUAGUAGCAACGGUAAAGUAGAUAAGCAAAGCACAAUAUGUGAAAAGCUCAUAGGCAUUGGAUCAGUGAUGGAUAAUUAUGUCGGAUGCGAUUCCUCAUGUAAUAGUUUUAACAUAGGGUGACACAGAACUAGCUCCAGUUCAUCAAUGUAAUGUAGGCAUGUAUUCCGAAUAUAGUCAUACGUGCUUAUGGAAAAGAACUUGCAUGACAUCUUUUGUCCUACCCUCCCGUGGCAGCGGGGUCCUAGUGGAAACUAAGGGAUAUUAAGGCCCCCUUUUAAUAGAGUACCGGACCAAAGCAUUAGCACUUAGUGAAUAUAUGAACUCCUCAAACUACGGUCAUCACCGAGAAGUAUCCCGAUUAUUGUCACUUCGAGGUUGUCGGAUCAUAACACAUAAUAGGUGACUAUAGACUUGCAAGAUCAGAUCAAGAACUCACAUAUAUUCAUGAAAACAUAAUAGGUUCAGAUCUAAAAUCAUGGCACUCGGGCCCUAGUGACAAGCAUUAAGCAUAGCAAAGUCAUAGCAACAUCAAUCUCAGAACAUAGUGGAUACUAGGGAUCAAACCCUAACAAAACUAACUUGAUUACAUGGUAAAUCUCAUCCAACCAUCACCGUCCAUCAAGCCUACGAUGGAAUUACUCACGCACGGCAGUGAGCAUCAUGAAAUUGGUGAUGGAGGAUGGUUGAUGAUGACGACAGUGAUGAAUCCCCCUCUCUGGAGCCCGAACGGACUCCAGAUCAGCCCUCCCGAGACAGAUUAGGGCUUGGCGGCGGCUCCAUAUCGUAAAACACGAUGAAAAUUUCUCUCUGAUUUUUUUCUCCACGAAAGCAAAUAUAUAGAGUUGGAGUUGAGGUUGGUGGAGCACCAGGGGGCCCACGAGGCAAGGGGCACGCCCAGGGGGAGGGGGCGCGCCGCCCACCCUCGUGGACAAGGUGUGGGCCCUUUGGCCUUUAUUCUUUCACCAGUAUUUUUUAUAUUUUCCAAAAGUAAUCUCCGUGGAUUUUCAGGUCAUUCCGAGAACUUUUGUUUUCUGCACACAAAUAACACCAUGGCAGUUCUGCUGAAAACAACAUCAGUCUGGGUUAGUUUCAUUCAAAUCAUGCAAGUUAGAGUCCAAAACAAGGGAAAACGUGUUUGGAAAAGUAGAUAUAUUGGAGACGUAUCAGCAAGCGCAGGCGCGGAGUACCGAGGCAUCAAGCAAAUGUUUCCAUAUCAGUGCAACGAGACCAAGACUAGCAGGACGGCAGGACGGAGGUUACCAUGGAGCCCAAGACGGCGUCAUCACCAGUGCCUUUGGCAGUCGAAGACCACCUUUAGUCAGGAUAGCUUGUACUGGUUGUCCCCUUACAAAAUGGCCAUUGUUGGCUCCCUUCCCGCUCAAUAUUUGGGAAGCGGACCAGGGCCUCUAUAAAUAGGGCUAGCCACCACAGUAGAAGGCAUCUCAUCUAGAGCCAACAGAGACGGAUCGACUCCUCUCCAAGCACACCACCACAAGAACACCUCUCCUCGCAAGGCUGUUCUUCCUCUGUACUGUUCAUCAUCAGCCCAAGAGGCAAUCCACCACACCACACACUGGAUUAGGGUAUUACACCACAACGCUGGACCCAACCAGUAUAAACCUUAUGUCUCUUGUGUUGUUCAUCGUGAUAGCUUAGAAUCGCGACGAGGUUCUGGGUGUGUUUCUGUAGGGAGAAGAUCUUCGUGCGCACCCCAGAGUUUGAACCUUAAGGUAUUCGCCGGAACCCGAUAUACGACAUUUGGCGCGCCAGGUAGGGGUGCGCCGAAGCUCUCCCUUCCGUCGGCGCUCUCCACCAACACUGCACUUCGCCCUUAUGGCGGACAAUGCGCCUCCGACUUCGGCGGCCGAUGCCAGCGCUGGGGCCAGGGGGCUCCGAGCCUUGGCCCCCGCCUUGUGUCAGGUGCAGUGGCCCCACAAGUUCAAGCCAGAGAUGCCGCCGCGCUACAACGGCGUGGCGGAUCCACUGGCUUUCCUGAUGGCGUACGAGGAGGCCGUGCUCAAGGCCGGAGGCGACGACAAGGUCAUGGCCAACUGGUUUCCCAUGGCCCUCACCGGCGUCCCACGCGUUUGGCUGCUCAACCUGCCCACAUCUUCUGUGGCCUCCUGGGAGGAGCUGCGCAACCUCUUUCUCACCCACUACACUGCACCGGCGCCCCCGGUUGUCACAACUCUCCUGGGCGGCUCACAGGCGCCACCCUCAGAUUGCCACGCCAAGCCGUUCUUCCGCCAGAUCGGCACCGCCCUCGCGCGACAAGGAGCUCCUCCGGGUUGGGCGGCACCCAAAGCCGACCUGACCUUCAACUCGGACGAUCACCCCGUCAACACCACCUGCUCGGGUGCGCUCCCAAUGCUUUGCACGCCCAUCAUCUGCCAGGUGGCCGUCACCAAGACCCUCAUCAACGGCGGCGCCGACCUCAACGUGCUCUCGGUGGAGGCCUUCAGCCUCCUUCAUGUACCGCUAGAGCGGCUCCGACCCAGCAAGCCCUUCUCAGGCGUCGGAGGCGGUUCCUCCAGCUCCCUUGGGCAGAUCCGCCUUCCUGUGACCUUCGGCACCCACGACAACUUCCGCACGGAGCUGGUCAACUUCGACAUCUCCCACAUCGGCCACCCGUACAACGCCAUCCUCGGAUACCCUGCCUUGGCUCAGUUCAUGGCAGCGACCCAUCCGGCCUACAACCUCAUGAAGAUGCCCCAGAGCAGCGGCAUCCUCACCGUAGCUAGAGAUACCAAGGAUGCUCUGCUGGUGCUCAAGCUCGCCCUCAAGACAGCCGCGGCAGCGCAGCCUGCCGGCACGGACACCUCCAAGGCCAAGGGGGCUGCGCUGACCAAGAAGAAGCAGCUGUUCACCCAGUACAAGGCGGAGACCAAGCAUGUACCAGUUGAGGAGGACGGGUCCUCCGGCGCCACCUUCACCAUAGGUGCCAAUCUCGACCCCGACCAAGAGGAGGCGCUGGUGAAGUUCCUGCGUGCGAACAAGGAUGUGUUCGCAUGGGAACCCAAGCAGCUAGCGGGGGUCCCAAGGUAGGUGAUUGAGCAUUACCUGAAUGUGUGCCCCAAUGUACGCCCCGUGAAGCAGAAAGCAAGGCGGCAGUCCACCGAGAAGCAGACCUUCAUCGUCCAAGAAACCCGCAAGCUGGAGGCGGCAGGUGUUAUUCACGAGGUUCGCUACCCCGAAUGGCUGGCAAACCCAGUUGUUGUGCCGAAAAAGGGGAGGAAGGAGCGCAUGUGCAUUGACUUCACCAACCUCAACAAGGCCUGCCCUCAAGAUCCGUUACCGCUCCCUCGCAUUGACCAAAUCGUCGACUCCACCGCCAAGUGCGACCUACUGUGUUUCUUGGAUGCGUUUCCGGGGUAUAAGCAAAUCAAGAUGGCGGUAGAAGAUGUGGAGAAGACGGCCUUCCUGACCCCAUGUGGGGUAUACUGCUACACCUGCAUGCCGUUUGGGUUGUGCAACGCGGGAGCAACCUUCUAGUGGCUGAUGCACAUCGCCUUAAGCCGGCAGCUCGGGAAAAACGCCGAGGCUUACGUCGACGACAUUGUGGUGGAGUCUCGGGAGGCAAAGACCUUGAUCCAGGACCUGGAAGAGACCUUCACGAGUCUCCGCAAAGUGGACCUGCGACUCAACCUGGAGAAGUGCAUGUUUGGCGUUCCUUCUGGCAAGCUUCUGGGCUUCCUUGUGUCCCAUAGAGGGAUCGAGGCCAACCCGGAGAAGGUCAAGGCGAUCGAAGACAUGAGUCCAUCACAAACCCUCAGAGAAAUGCAGAAGCUCGCCGGACACGUAACUGCGUUAGGAUGCUUCAUCUCCAAGCUGGGGGAGCGCGCCUUGCCUUUUUUCAAGCUGAUGAAGAAGAAGGGCCCGUUCAAAUGGACACAGGAGGCCGACCAAGCAUUUCAAUACCUCAAGAAGUACUUGACUAGACCUCCUGUAAUGGUGGCACCACGCCCUCUCGAGCCCCUGGUGCUCUACCUCGCCGCCACACCCUACUCCGCCAGUGCAUCUCUAGUGGCGAUUCGGGAAGAGCGCCAGGUCAAGUCUGCAUCACGACCGGCCACGGCCCCGGCCACGGCAGCACAAGACAAAGAAGGCCUCGCGAAGACCACGGCCUCGACAGAUGGAGACCAGCCCCAAUAGGAAAAUGCCCCUAGGGCUGAAGAGGCCGUACCAGGCAGCCAGGUGUUGGGGUCCCCGUCAUCUCAGGAGGUGCCUAACCCUCCGUAGGGCACGGACCUCGUUAGCACACCCACCCUCGUCUAGCAUCCAGUGUAUUUCAUUAGCACGAUGCUGCGGGAUGCAAGGGCACGAUACCCCAUGCCUUAGAAGCUCUUGCUAGCGCUGCUGGCGGCCUCGCGUAAGCUGCAGUACUACUUUCAAGGUCACCCCAUCAAGGUCGUCUCGGCCUACCCAUUAGAAAGGGUACUCACGAGUCCCAACUCCGCUGGAAGGGUCGCCGAGUGGAACAUUGAGCUGCAAGCGUUUCAGCUGGAAUUCAGCACAACCGGGGUCGUCAAGGGAGCCACACUUGCAGAUUUUGUGGUAGAAUGGACAGAGGCGCCUGGGCUCGAAGCAGGAGAAGAUCGGCCACUUUACCCAGGAAGUGAGGCACCGAAUGGCUGGGUCAUGUACUUUGAUGGAGCAUUCUCGCGGCACGGCGCAGGGGCUGGUGCAGUGCUUAUAUCCCCCACUCAGGACAAGAUCUAUUAUGUCGUGUAGCCCUGUUUCCAGCAUGGCGAGAAGGUCUCCAACAACAUAGCAGAAUACGAGGGCCUCAUAGCAGGCUUGAAAGCUGCAGCAACACUGGGGGUGAAGCGCCUCAUUGAUAUGUCUCCGUCGUAUCUAUAAUUUUUGAUUGUUCCAUGCCAAUAUUCUUCAACUUUCAUAUACUUUUGGCAACUUUUUAUACUAUUUUUGGGACUAACAUAUUGAUCCAGUGCCAAGUGCCAGUUCCUGUCUGUUGCAUGUUUUUUUGUUUCGCAGAAACCCAAUAUCAAAGUGAGUCCAAACGGGAUAAAAAUGGACGGAGAUUUUUUUGGAAUAUUUAUGAUUUUUGGGAAGUAAAAUCAACGCGAAACGGUGUUCGGUGUGGCCACGAGAUAGGGUGGCGCGCCUGAGGGAGUCUUGGACUAGGGGGUGUCCGGAUAGCCGGACUAUCAUCAUCGGCCGGACUCCAAGACUAUGAAGAUACAAGAUUGAAGACUUCGUCCCGUGUCCGGAUGGGACUUUCCUUGGCGUGGAAGGCAAGCUUGGUAAUACGGAUAUGUAGAUCUCCUACCAUUGUAACCGACUCUGUGUAACCCUAGCCCUCUCCGGUGUCUAUAUAAACCGGAGGGUUUUAGUCCGUAGGACGAACAACCAUUACAACAAUCAUACCAUAGGCUAGCUUCUAGGGUUUAGCCUCCUUGAUCUCGUGGUAGAUCCACUCUUGUACUACCCAUAUCAUCAAUAUUAAUCAAGUAGGAGUAGGGUUUUACCUCCAUCGAGAGGGCCCGAACCUGGGUAAAAACAUCGUGUCCCUUGUCUCCUGUUACCAUCCGCCUAGACGCACAGUUCGGGACCCCCUACCCGAGAUCCGCCGGUUUUGACACCGACAUUGGUGCUUUCAUUGAGAGUUCCUCUGUGUCGUCACCAGUAGGCUUGAUGGCUCCUUCGAUCAUCAAUAACGACGCAGUCCAGGGUCAGACUUUUCUCCCCGGACAGAUCUUCGUAUUCGGCGGCUUUGCACUGCGGGCCAAUUCGCUUGGCCAUCUGGAGCAGAUCGAAAGCUACGCCCCUGGCCGUCAGGUCAGAUUUGGAAGUCUAAACUUCACGGCUGACAUCCGCGGAGACUUGAUCUUCGACAGAUUCGAGCCACAGCCGAGCGCGCCCACUAUCACGAUGGGCAUGAUUUAGCUCUGCUGUCGGACAGUGCCCUGGAGGCCGCACAUGAGUCCGCUCUGACCCUUAGUUCGGAGCCGACCGCGCAGAUCGAGGACGGGUGGCUAGACACCGCCUCGUGGGCUGCAAUCUCUACGGCGAUGGAGCCGAAUACUAACCUUUUCCCUUGUAAAGCUCGUGACUCCGAGGUGCCGAACUCCUCGCCGGACUCCAAACCUCCUGCGCCCCUACCAAUCGAAUCCGAUUGGGCACCGACCAUGGAGUUCACCGCUGCGGACAUCUUUCAGCACUCGCCUUUCAGCGAUAUUCUGAAUUCGCUAAAGUAUCUCUCGUUGUCAGGAGAGCCCUAGUCGAACUGCGGUCAGGACGGUUGGGAUGCGGGCGACGAAGAAAUUCAAAGCCCACCCACCACCCACUUUGUAGCCACUGUCGACGAUCUAACCGACAUGCUAGACUACGACUCCGAAGACAUUGACGGUAUGGACGACGAUGCCGGGGACGACCAAGAACCAGCGCCUACGGGGCACUGGAAGACCACCUCAACUCAUGACAUAUACAUGGUGGACACACCAAAAGGAAGCGAUAACAAGGAACAACGGGACGCGGCGAAGGAUAAUUCCCCCGAAAAACAACCAAAACGGUGACGCAAGCACCGCCCGAAGUCCCGCCUCGGCAACAACAGCACCCAUAAUGACCCAGCCGUAGAGCAGGGCAAACCAGUGGACGACAAAGAUGCAACCAAGCAACCAUCCGAACAGGAUGAAUCGGACAACCAACCCAUCCUUGGCGAAAACAACAGUCCAGACGAUCUCACGCCGGAUACAUCACCGGAGCAUAAGAACCUUCACAAAAGGCUCGUCGCCACUGCAAGAAGUUUGAAGAAGCAGAAACGGAAGCUCAAAACAGUGGAAGACGUACUCAGAAUGAGGUGGAGCAAAGUACUCAAAACCGCAGACAAAUACGGCAAUAGUCACCAAGCAAAGAGCUACCUGUAGCGCAAGCUGCUGCCCGAAUUCGACGAGGAGGCCAUAGAGCCACCACAAUCAAAAAGCAAAGAGGCCGCUUGGCCGGAUAGAUGACCAGAUGACAGGCCAAGAGCGGCAAGCGGCGCCGCACACAAGCCGGCACAUGACACACAUGAAGAUGCUCGCCAAAAGGAUGGCCCGGUUAGGUCCAUUUACGGGCCAAAAGAGAGGGCACCACCAAGCAACACAACACGCCGAGUGCUCGAAGAUAACGGCACACCUAAAUACAGGGGUGCCGCACACCCACUAUGUUUCACCGAUGAGGUGCUGGAUCAUGAAUUUCCAGCGGGAUUCAAGCCCGUAAACAUAGAGGCAUAGACGGAACAACAGACCCUGGAGUCUGGAUUGAGGAUUACAUCCUACACAUACAUAUGGCUAGAGGAGACGAUCUCCACGCCAUAAAAUACCUACCCCUCAAGCUCAAAGGGCCAGCUCGGCAUUGGCUCAAAAGCCUCCCAGAACAUACCAUUGGAAGUUGGGAAGAGCUCGAGGACGCGUUUAGAGCAAAUUUUCAGGGGACUUAUGUCCGCCCUCCGGAUGCAGACGAUUUAAGUCACAUAACUCAACAGCCCGGAGAGUCAGCGCGCAAAUUCUGGAACAUGUUCCUCACCAAAAAGAACCAAAUAGUCGACUCUCCGGACGCCGAAGCUUUAGCAGCUUUUAAACAUAACGUCCGAGACGAAUGGCUCGCCAGACACCUCGGCCAGGAAAAGCCAAGAACAAUGGCCGCGCUAACGAGCCUCAUGACCCGCUUUUGCGCGGGGGAAGAUAGCUGGCUAGCAAGAUGCAGCACCAGCGACCCGAGUACAUCCGAGAUCAAAGAUGGAAAUGGAAAAUCACGACGCAGGAAAGAUCAGCGCUGAAAUAAAGAAAAUGGCCCAAAGAACACGGCGGUCAACGCCGGAUUCAAAAGCUCUCGGCCGAACAACAAAACACUGCCUCUUAAGGACAACAGUGAUGAGCUAUCCAACCUAAACAAAAUUUUGGAUCGGAUAUGUCAAAUCCACAGUACCCCCGGGAAGCCUGCAAACCACACCCACCGAGAUUGUUGGGUCUUCAAGCAGUCCGGCCGACUCAACGCCGAACACAAGGGGCUCAACACGCCAAGCGAGGACGAUGACGAACCCCACCAGCAGAGCACCGAAAAACAAAAGACUUUCCCGCAAGAAGUCAAAACAGUAAACUCACUCCAUGUGAUAAUAGGGAACAAUAGUGCGGCACCCGCUAAAGUACGCGUCGCUCGGUCCACCCCAGCGGAAUCCCGAGAUUGGAUGUCAAAACCAAUUACUUUCGACCACCUGGAUUAUUCCAGAAGUAUUCGAAACGCAGGAUGGACUGCUCUGAUAUUGGAUCCUAUAAUCAACGGACUACAUUUUACGCAAGUCCUAAUGGAUGGCGGCAGCGAUUUAAACCUGCUAUAUCCGGACACAAUCCGCAAGUUGUGGAUAGACCCUACUAAAAUUCGCCAUAGCCGCACUUCCUUCAAAGGAGUGACGCCAGGCCCUUACGCCAAGUGCACGGGCUCCUUACUACUAGAAGUUGUGUUCAGAUCACCCGACAACUUCCAUCGCGAAAAGCUAAUCUUCCAUGUCGCCCCAUUCAAAAGUAGCCAUCAAGCACUAUUGGGACAUGAAGCUUUCGCCCGCUUUAAUGCAAUACCGCACUAUGCGUCUCUUACACUUAAAAUGCCCGGCCCACGCGGGAUCAUCUCAUUAAAAGGUCGUUCAAGACCCCGGACACGGCUAGGCGAGUCUGGCAUAAAUAAACUAGGGGCUCCCUAGCCGCAUACCCCUUCACAAGGGGUUGUGCGUAUGAAUAAUAAGAGCCAAUAAAAGCUCAACUUUAUUCAUUCAUUCAUACUUUGUUUUCAUUACAUUUUUUGCACGGUUUCUUUUCAAAACUAAGUUCCUCUCUUUUACAGAUGAACAACGUGCUACACCCGUCCAGGAUACAGCACAACGGAGACACAGGUGCAGACGUGCAGCAGGGACCCGUCGCAAGGAUUCUUUUCAGAUUAAGACCCUGCGUAAACCUUUCCUACUGUCUCUUGUUGAAUCACGUCCCCCAGUUUUCCACCAUAACCGAUGAGGAGUCUGGCGUUUUGGCAUCGGCCGCGUCAGAAAUUUUCGCCCGUACCUGGACACUAGGGGCUUAGGGCAUUGUUCUGCCCGUUAUCAUAAAGACCGAAUACCUUAGGGAGUGUUCGGCGUCUCGAGUUAGGCCUUAUAUGCAUCAGCUCCGAAUCAUGUCUUUGGUCAAAUGUUGGGUUUGCCCGGCUCCUGUGUUUUGCUGCCUUACGUUCCGUAUCACCAGCUAACGCGGCACCAGGAGAACUACUGCGAUUGUGCCCCGGUUCGGCCGGGCGAGCACCUCAGUAGAGAAAGCCGAAAACUGACUGUCAUGAUACAGCGAGAGACUGGUCAACCACUCGAUCGACUACCGGAAUGUCUAGAAUUCCUCCGCUUUAACGAAGGACCGUUUCCCGGUCAGGCACAUACGCGCCCCAAAUUCGGAGAGCGCAGUGCCCCUAGGGGCUAUAUCGUAGCCCCACCUUCGAACUCCUAUAGCUAAGUGAAAGUGAUAAAGCAUUAUAGUCCGGUUGCCUCGUUUGCUACGCUACCACCUCCUUCACAGGACCAAGACGUUGGAUUAAGUGUGAAAAUGCACUAUUUUGCAAACACCCCCGCACCAUGUGCGUGGGGGCUGAAGCCGAAGACUGCCAUCUUUCAGGUUAUACACAAGUAUACAUUAACGGCCGCACAGGAGAUAUUUCAAUACUUGAACACACAAGUAUAAAAAGCACUUGUAUCAUGAAUAUCGUUUUACAAAUCAUAAAGAUCAUUUGAACAUGACAUUUUUUAGCACUGCGACUCUAUUACACGAGCACCCUGCAGGACUUCUCCAAAAUAGUGUUCGGCGGGUAACCGGCUCUCGUCCGAACCCUGGGUUGCAAUAGCGGUGGCAUCCAUCUCCGUCCAGUAUGUCUUCACACGGGCAAGGGCCAUCCAUGCACCCUCUAUGCAUGCCGACCGCUUCAUCACCUUGAUAUGCGGCACCGCCCCAAGAAAUUGCUGUAAUAAGCCAAAAUAACUCUUCGGCUUGGGCCUAUCCGGCCACAGAUGAGCCACUACAUCCGUCAUGGCAAAACCGGACAAUCUAUUCAGCUCAACCCACUCAGCCAACCGAUCGGUCAACAUAAGUGAACGCUCCGGACUGUGGAAUUGAGACCAAAAAAGCUCUUCCGUCUCGUGAUCCUUUUGGCUUCGAAAGUGCACAACCGCAUCCGCCGCACUCGCCGCCAAAUCCAGAUAAGGAUCCUCCGGACCCCACAGCUGGCCAAGCUGAGCAUACUUCUGAUCUGUGAACUUCCUGCGCAGCAGAAAGGGCCUGCCAGCCGCAAUGUCUCCGGCCUGACGCAGCUCCUCCUUCAUAGCCCUCAUUGCAGAACGGGCAUCCUUGGCUUCGGCGGUGGCCUUCUUCAGGUCUUCUUGCCCCGCUCGGCGUUCGUUUUCAAGAACCUCAUAGCGGUCGGCAACAUCCUUCAGCUUCACGGCCAUUCCGGCCAUCUCCUCCAUGCUUCGGCAGUGAGCAUCCCUUUCGGCUUCUAGCUCUUCAGUUGCCUUCGAGGCAGCCGCAUCACUCCUUCUAGCCUGCUCCUUAGCUCGAGCAAGCUCUGCCCGAAGGUCCUCCACAGCAGCGGCACCAUCUGCAUUAAGCAUACAUGUUGUAAGGGGUGGGCUUCAGCUCCCUUACUAGGUGACCACGGAGAAACAACCUACCUUGUGACUCGUCAAGUUGCUUAUUGACUAGCGCGAUGUCCGCAUCCGCAACAUCGAGUUGCCGCUCUAGUUCAGCAACUCCAUCAGUCCGGCUGGCCACCGGACUAUCCGCCACCUACAUAGGAAAGGUGAGAAUUAAUACCCGAGAUUAUGAUCUUCGGCACGCUGUCGCUUUCGACAACAUACCGAGUCUCAGGGGCUACUAUCUAUACAGGGCGCACUUUAUGUGCAAAACUGUCAAAAGGUAUGUCAUUUUUACGUACCUCAAACCCCGCCAGCAAACUUCUGACGGCAUCAUACAACCCGCCCUCAGCGGAUGAAAUUCUUUCAAUCACCGUACUCAUCAAUGUACGGUGACCUUCUGAGAUAGACGCCCUCUCGAGCAGAUCCUUCAGCUCCCCCGGCCUUACACCAGUUGGUGUCGAACUCUCCGGCCCUGCCGGACCCGGGGACACCCUCUGCGACGAUACCUCAGGGUCAUCUGCCUCACCCAACGGUGCGGCAGAUGGAGGCGUCUCGCUCUCCAUCAUCUCCGGACGAAGGUCCCCCGAAGACGAGCUCAGCUGAGAAGGACAGAGAUCCGAACUAUAGUAAAAACUUCGGUUAUCCUCAGAAGCAAAAAUAGGGACAUCCCUUGUUACAAUACUCCCCUUUUUCUACUUACGGCUCGCUGGAGGGCUGAUUCCUUGGGGGAGAUAGUGCGGCCGGGGCCUCCCCCGACGUAGGACCCUCUGGUGGAGAUUUCUUCCCCCGCUUUGAGGCCUUAACCUCCGGGUCUUUAGAAGCGGUCCUCUUCUCCCCAUGGAGGGAGGGAUUCUCGAUCCUCCCUUUCUCAAAAGCCUCCUUAGUAGAGGCGGUAGUUUCUCUGUUUUCCCCUUCGCCCUCCUCUAGAGGCGCGACCUCCGGCAUCUUGACCAACACCGGAUCCGGCGUGGUCUCUGGGAGGGGGGCCGGACACCGUAUCAGUUUUUCUUGCGCUACCCACCCCUGUUCAAAGGACGGUUGGUUAAAAGGCGAAUCCAAGAAUAUGCAAACAAAUGGUAUGUCCGGACACAGGGCUACUUACUUGAGCAUCCGGGCGAUUGCAGCUUAGGCCGGCAUCCUCGAUCAAUUCCGGACACACUUCUUGUGAUCCGAAGAACAAUUUGUACAUUUCCACGGGUGUCGUACCCAUGAAGAGUUGGAGAUCUCGUGGCCCCUCUGGAUUAAAUUCCCACAGGCGGAGGGGGCGACGUUUGCAGGGCAGAAGACGCCGAAUCAGCAUAACCUGCAUCACUACGACCAGAUUGAUCUCCCUCUCUUGGAGGUCUCGAAUCCGGCCCUGCAAUAGGGGUACGGUUUUUGACGGCCCCCAGUUAAGCCCUUGGUUGACCCACGACAUCAGCCGUUGUGGAGGGCCCGAGCGAAAGAUGGGCAGCGGCUUCUGCCUGCUGCCCCUGGGAGCGGUAAUAUAGAACCACUCCUGUUGCCACAAGCCGAGCUCCUCCUGGAAAGAGCCCUCGGGCCAUGGAGCAUCGGCCCUCUUGCUUACAAUCGCCCCGCCGCACUCUGCUUGACGCCCCUCGAUCAUCUUAGGCUCCACGUUGAAGGUUUUGAGACACAAACCGAAGUGAGGGGUAGUGCGGAGGAAGGCUUCGCAGACGACAAUGAAUGAUGAGAUGUGGAGGAUGGACUCCGGAGCCAAGUCGUGGAAUUCCAACCCAUAGUAAAACAUGAGCCCUCUCACAAAAGGAUCCAUCGGGAAGCCUAAACCCCGACGGAGGUGGGACACGAACACGACGCUCUCGCCGGGCUCGGGAGUAGGAAUGACUUGCCCUUUGGCGGGCAACCUAUGCAAAAUCUCAUAGGUCAGGUACCUGGCUUCUCUCAGCUUUAGCACGUCCUCUUCCGUGUCGGAGGAGGGCAUCCACCGGCCCUAUAGGUCGGAGCCGGACAUUGUUGAAGGUCCGAGGCGCUCGAAUCUGGGACUCUGGGUGUUGGAACUCGGGGUGAGGGGCAGAUUCGAUUGAGGAUUGAAGAAAAGAAACAAGCCUUGGUCUCAUUAUAAAGAGGGAGAAUACCAAGGCCCGUCCCCGUGACCAUUUGGAACUCACCUUCGAUGGAGGAGGCGUGGCAACGGGCACGGUUGGGUUACCCACGUCCGUGUUGAUGGGAAUCCCGGAAUAAGGGGAACAUGAUCUCUGCUUCGACAAGACGUGCCAAGGAAACCGCUUCGCUAAACACGCUGAGGUGGUAUAAUAAAAACGAUUCAAGUAAAGGCUUGGUAGUGGUGUGACGUCACGCCAACGUCAGCAGAUUGAACUUGUGUACAUAUUAUUCUCUCUACGGUGGUAUGUGGAAUUUAUUUUAUAGAGCCGAACACUAUCCUGGUGUUCACAAUCUUUUAUGAAUUAUUCGGAGGAGGAAACCGCCUUGCAAUGCCAAAGACAAUAUGCGCGCCGCACUCGUCGUCAUUGAAGCCUGAUUCAGGGGCUACUGAGGGAGUCCAGGACUAGGGGGUGUCCGGAUAGCCAGACUAUCAUCAUCGGCCGGACUCCAAGACUAUGAAGAUACAAGAUUGAAGACUUCGUCCCGUGUCCGGAUGGGACUUUCCUUGGCGUGGAAGGUAAGCUUGGCAAUACGGAUAUGUAGAUCUCCUACCAUUGUAACCGACUCUGUGUAACCCUAGCCCUCUCCGGUGUCUAUAUAAACCGGAGGGUUUUAGUCCGUAGGACGAACAACCAUUAGAACAAUCAUACCAUAGGCUAGCUUCUAGGGUUUAGCCUCCUUGAUCUCGUGGUAGAUCCACUCUUGUACUACCCAUAUCAUCAAUAUUAAUCAAGAAUGAGUAGGGUUUUACCUCCAUCGAGAGGGCCCGAACCUGGGUAUAAAAAAAAACAUCGUGUCCCUUGUCUCCUGUUACCAUCUGCCUAGACGCACAGUUCGGGACCCCCUACCCGAGAUCCGCCGGUUUUGACACCGACAGCGCCCUCCCCCUGGGUGUGCCCUGGACUCUCGUGGGCCACCCGUAAGGCGGUUGAUGCUCUUAUUUUGGUGCAAGAAAGCUAAUUUUAUGAGAAAGAGCUGGGCGAAAGAUUCACCCCAAUCGGAGUUACGGAUCUCCGGAUAUUUAAGAAACGGUGAAGGGGUAGAAUUAGAGAACGCAGAAACAGAGAGAUAGAUCCAAUCUCGGAGGGGCUCUCGCCCCUCCCAAGCCAUGGGGGCCAAGGACCAGAGGGGAAACCCUUCUCCCAUCUAGGGAUAAGGUCAAGGAAGAAGAAGAAGAAGGGGGGCUCUCUCCCCCUUGCUUCCGGUGGCGCCGGAGCGCUGCCGGGGGCCAUCACAAUCACCGCGAUCUUCACCAACACCGCCAUCAUCUUCACCAACAUCUCCAUCACCUUCCCCCAUCUAUAUCCAGCGGUCCACUCUCCCGCAACCCGCUGUACCCUCUACUUGAACAUGGUGCUUUAUGCUUCAUAUUAUUAUCGAAUGAUGUGUUGCCAUCCUAUGAUGUCUGAGUAGAUUUCUAUUGUCCUAUCGGUGAUUGAUGAAUUGCUAUGAUUGGUUUGAGUUGCAUGUUUUAUUAUUGGUGCUAUCCUAUGAUUGGUUUGAAUUGCUGUUCUAAGUUGUUCUCUAUCUUUAGUUAUGGAUAUGGAACACAAAAUACCAAAGAAAUUAGAGGUACUUGCUACUCAUGUAGAUGGGGUAACUCCUAAAACCCCCGAUUCUCAUUAUGUGAGAGAUAUUAUGUACUACUUUGAUAAUCCUGAGAAAACCCCAUUCAACUUUAUAAUGGGAGACACAUUGGAUCAACAUGAAUAAUUUAGGGAUUAUCGCUCGACACAAAAAGGGAAACUAUUAUGGGAUCAAUUUAUUAUGUUGCGUUGGUAUGCCUGGGCUCUAUGCUUGAGAUAUGAUAUUGCUUGUUGCUCUAGGAUGGAGGCUCCACACCUUCCCUUUUCAUGCAAAUUUAAUGGUAAUGAAACCUUAGCUUCUUAUGCUAAUGGUAUAUAUGAUUACUAUGAUGUAGAGCAAAUAGAAGAAUUUGUUGCUUUUAAGGCUGCUUAUGAAAUUGAAUCUUUGUUUGAAAAGUAUGAAGCUUUUAUAGGCCUGAAAAUCUUACUAUACUUAGAUAUUGCUAUGCAAAUUAUGAAUACAAUUACUAUAUUAAUGCAUUUAUGAAGAAAUUCUCCGCUGUCCAAGAAGAGACUAAUAUUUUGCAGGAAGCUAUGGAAGAAGAAAUUGAUGAAACUGUGAGCUCAUUGGAUGAAAAAGAUGAUGAGGAGAGCAAAGAACAAAAGGAGGAAGAGCGGAUUAGCUACCCGUGCCCACCUUCUAAUGAGAGUAACCCUCCAACUCAUACAUUGUUUAAUUCCCCUUCUUGCUUACCAAAGGAUGAUUGCUAUGAUGAUUGCUAUGAUCCCUUGAAUUUGUCUGAAAUAUCCCUUUUUGAUGAUGCUUGCUAUGCUUGUGGCCAAGAUGCCAAUAUGAAUUAUGCUUAUGGAGAUGAACUUGCUAUAGUUCCUUAUGUUAAACAUGAAGUUGUUGCUAUUGCACCCACGCAUGAUAGUCCUAUUAUCUUUUUGAAUUCUCCCGACUACACUAUAUCGGAGAAGUUUGUGCUUAGUAAGGAUUAUAUUGAUGGGUUGCCUUUUACCGUUGCACAUGAUGAUUUUGAUAGAUAUAAUAUGCAUGUGAUUUCUGCUCCUACUUGCAAUUAUUAUUAGAGAGGAACUACAUCUCCACCUCUUCAUGUUUCCAAUACGAUAGAAUUGCAAGAAACUGUUUAUACUAUGCAUUGGCCUUUACUUGGUGUGCAUGAAUUGUUCUUUUAUGAUAUGCCGAUGCAUAGGAAGAGAUUUAGACUUUGUUGUUGCAUGAUAUAUGUUACUUUGUGCUCACUACUAAAUCAUAAAUCAUUAUUAAUUCAAACUGGCUUUGAUAUACCUUGGGAUCCGGGUGGAUUCAUUACUUGAGCACUAAAUGCCUAGCUUAAUGGCUUUAAAGAAGCGCUGCCAGGGAGACAACCCGGAAGUUUUAGAGAGUCAUUUAUUUCUGUUGAGUGCUUUUAUAUAGUUUAAAAACAAAAAAAAUAAAGAGGGGAACCUAAAACUUUUCAAAAGGAAAGUGAAAGUGAGAAAGAUAAUCAUUGUUGAAGUGGGAGAGCUCCUUGAACUUUGUUCAUGCUCACGGAAACUUUGUGAAUCUUGAUUACAGAAAAUUUUCAUCAAAAAUAAUUAUCCCCUUGUAUAAUUCCAUUGUAUUAUAAAAUUAAUGUGCUAAGGUUUGCCUUUAGGAUGUUUACAAUGCUUGUUGGUUUGUACGGUGCAGGACAGAAACUUUGGCUGUAGUGCGCGAUUUUACAUUUUUAACUGGAACAUCAAUUGGUUCUGAUUCCUUUUGCACUCUCUUUCUAUACAACUUGUUAAUUUUUAUAAUUUUGGUAGAAUUUUUGGGGUACCAGAAGUAUGGUGGAUGUUCAGAUUGCUACAGACUGUUCUGUUUUUGACAGAUUCUGUUUUCGAUGCAUAGUUUGCUUGUUUUGAUGAAUCUAUCAAUUUAUAUUAGUGGAUUAAGCCAUGGAAAAGUUAUAUUACAGUAGACACAAUGCAAAAACAAAAUAUGAAUUGGUUUGCAGUAGUACUUAGAGUGGUGAUUUGCUUUAUUAUACUAACGGAUCUUACCGAGUUUUCUAUUGAAGUUUUGUGUGGAUGAAGUGUCUAAACGAGGAGGUCUUGAUAUUAGGAAAAGGAAGAGAGGAAAGAGCUCAAGAUUGGGGAUUCCCGAGGCACCCCAAGUAAAUAUUCAAGGAGACUCAAGCGUCUAAGCUUGGGGAUGCCCCGGAAGGCAUCCCCUCUUUCUUCAACAAGUAUCGGUAUGUUUUCGUAUUCGUUUCGUUUAUGCAUUAUGUGCAAGUCUUGGAGCGUCUUCUGCAUUUAGUUUUCAUUUUUAUUUUAUGCACCAUGCUAGUAUGAGAUAGUCCUUGGUUGAUUUUUAGAAUGCUCAUUGCACUUCACUUAAAUCUUUUGAGUAUGGCUUUAUAGAAUGCUUCAUGUGCUUCACUUAUAUCUUUUGAAGUUUGGAUUGCCUGUUUCUCUUCAUAUAGAAAACUGCCAUUUGUAGAAUGCUCUUUUGCUUCACUUAUAUUUGUUAGAGCGUGGGCAUAUCUUUUGUAGAAAGAAUUAAACUCUCUUGCUUCACUUAUAUCUAUUUAGAGAGAUGACAGGAAUUGGUCAAUAACAUGGUUAGUCAUAAAAUCCUACAUAACUUGUAGAUCGCUGAAUAUGAUAUGUUUGAUUCCUUGCAAUAGUUUUGCGAUAUAAAGGUGGUGAUAUUAGAGUCAUGCUAGUGGGUGGUUGUGGAUUGUAGAGACACUUGUGUUGAGGUUUGCAAGUCCCGUGGCAUGCACGUAUGGUAACCGUUGUGUGACAAAUUUGAAGCAUGGGUGUUUCUUUGAUUGUCUUCCUUAUGAGUGGCGGUCGGGGACGGGCCAUGGUCUUUUCCUACCAAUCUAUACCCCUAGGGGCAUGCGUAGUAGUACUUUGCUUCGAGGAAUAAUAAAGUUUUGCAAUAAGUAUAUGAGUUCUUUAUGACUAAUGUGAGUCCAUGGAUUAUACACACUUUUACCUUUCCAUCAUUGCUAGCCUCUUCGGUACCGUGCAUUGCCCUUUCUCACCUUGAGAGUUGGUGCAAACUUCGCCGGUGCAUCCAAACCCCGUGAUACGAUACGCUCUAUCACACAUAAGCCUCAUUAUAUCUUCCUCAAAACAGCCACCAUACCUACCUAUCAUGGCAUUUCCAUAGCCAUUCCGAGAUAUAUUGCCAUGCAACGUUCAUCAUCAUCAUAUUCAUGACUUGAGCACUCAUAUAGAGUCAUAUCUUUGUUCUAAUAUCGAGCUGUAAUAUUGGGUUGUAAGUAAAUAAAAGUGUGAUGAUCAUCAUUAUAGAGCAUUGCCCCAUAAAAAAAGAAAAAGAAAAAAAAGAAAAAAAGGAAAGGCCAAAGAAGCCUAAAUAAAAAAAGGGGGGCCAAAGAAGCCCACGAAAGAAAAAAGAAAAAAAAGCAAAAAAAAGAAAAAUAAAAAGGGGCAAUGUUACUAUCUCUUUUUCCACACUUGUGCUUCAAAGUAGCACCAUGUUCUUCAUUUAGUGAGUCUCAUAUCUUGUGCUUCAAAGUAGCACCAUGUUCUUCAUAUAGAUUGUCUCCUAUGUUGUCACUUUCAUAUACUAGUGGGAAUUUUCAUUAUAGAACUUGGCUUGUAUAUUCCAACAAUGGGCUUCCUCAAAUGCCCUAGGUCUUCAUGAGUAAGCAAGUUGGAUGCACACCCACUUAGUUUCUUUUGUUGAGCUUUCAUACACUUAUAGCUCUUAGUGCAUCCGUUGCAUGGCAAUCCCUACUCCUCGCAUUGACAUCAAUUGAUGGGCAUCUCCAUAGCCCGUUGAUUAGCCGCGUCGAUGUGAGACUUUCUCUUUUUUGUCUUCUCCACAUAACCUCCAUCAUUAUAUUCUAUUCCACCUAUAGUGCUAUAUCCAUGGCUUGCGCUCAUAUAUUGCGUGAGGGUUGAAAAAGCUUAAGCGCGUUAAAAAGUAUGAACCAAUUUCUCAGCUUGUCAUCGGAGUUGUGCAUGAUGGGGGCAUUUUGUGUGACGAAAAUGAAGCAUGGCCAAACUGUAUGAUUUUGUAGGGAUAAGCUUGCUUUUGCCUUGUUGUUUUGAAAAUACAUGAUUGCUUUAUUGGUAUGCUCGAAGUAUUAUUGUUUUUAUGUCAAAUGAUAGACUAUUGCUUUGAAUCACUCGUGUCUUAAUAUUCAUGCCAUGAUUAGACAUAUGAUCAAGAUUAUGCUAGGUUGCAUUCCACAACAAAAAUUAUCUUUUUUAUCAUUUACCUACUCGAGGACGAGCAGGAAUUAAGCUUGGGGAUGCUGAUACGUCUCCGUCGUAUCUAUAAUUUUUGAUUAUUCCAUGCCAAUAUUCUUCAACUUUCAUAUACUUUUGGCAACUUUUUAUACUAUUUUUGGGACUAACAUAUUGAUCCAGUGCCCAGUGCCAGUUCCUGUCUAUUGCAUGUUUUUUUUGUUUCGCAGAAAACCAAUAUCAAAUGGAGUCCAAACGAGAUAAAAACGGACGGAGAUUUUUUUUGGAAUAUUUAUGAUUUUUGGGAAGUAAAAUCAACGCGAAACGGUGUCCGGGGUGGCCACAAGACAGGGGGCGCGCCCUCCCCCCUGGGCGCGCCCUGGACUCUCGCGGGCCACCCGUAAGGCGGUUGAUGCUCUUCUUUUGGCACAAGAAAGCUAAUUUGAUGAGAAAGAUCUAGGCGAAAGAUUCAACCCAAUCGAAGUUACGGAUCUCCGGAUAUUUAAAAAACGGUGAAGGGUAGAAUCAGAGAACGCAGAAACAGAGAGAUAGAUCCAAUCUCGGAGGGGCUCUCGCCCCUCCCAAGCCAUGGGAGCCAAGGACCAGAGGGGAAACCCUUCUCCCAUCUAGGGAGGAGGUCAAGGAAGAAGAAGAAGAAGGGGGGGCUCUCUCCCUCUUGCUUCCGGUGGCGCCGGAGCGCUGCCGGGGGCCAUCAUCAUCACCGCGAUCUUCACCAACACCGCCGUCAUCUUCACCAACAUCUCCAUCACCUUCCCCCAUCUAUAUCCAGCGGUCCACUCUCCCGCAACCCGCUGUACCCUCUACUUGAACAUGGUGCUUUAUGCUUCAUAUUAUUAUCCAAUGAUGUGUUGCCAUCCUAUGAUGUCUGAGUAGAUUUCUAUUGUCCUAUCAGUGAUUGAUGAAUUGCUAUGAUUGGUUUGAGUUGCAUGUUUUAUUAUUGGUGCUGUCCUAUGAUGCCCUCCGUGUCGCGCAAGCGUGAGGGAUUCCCGCUGUAGGGUGUUGCAAUGCGUUCAUGAUUCGCUUAUAGUGGGUUGCGUGAGUGACUGAAACACAAACCCGAGUAAGUAGGUUGUUUGCGUAUGGGAUAAAGGGGACUUGAUGCUUUAAUGCUAUGGUUGGGUUUUACCUUAAUGAAUCUUUAGUAUUUGCGGACGCUUGCUAGAGUUCCAAUCAUAAGUGCAUAUGAUCCAAGUAGAGAAAGUAUGUUAGCUUAUGCCUCUCCCUCAAAUAGAAUUGCAAUAGUGAUUACCGGUCUAGUAACAUAGUUAGUUGCUUAGGGACAAUUUCACAGCUCCUACCACCACUUUUCCACACUCGCUACAUUUACUUUAUUGCAUCUUUAUCUAAACAGCCUCUAGUUUAUACUUACAUGUUCUUUAUUAUCUUGCAAACCUAUCCAACAACACAUACAAAGUACUUCUAGUUUCAUACUUUUUCUAGGUAAAGCGAACGUCAAGUGUGCGUAGAAUCGUAUCAGUGGCCGAUAGGACUUGAGAGAGUAUUUGUUCUACCUUUAGCUCCUCGUUGGAUUCGACAUUCUUACUUAUAGAAAGAGGCUACAACUAUCCCAUAUACUUGCGGGUCAUCACUCAUCAUCAAGGGUGAUUCACAGCUCCUCGUCAACUUCUCCAACAAGGUGUACGAGCUGAAGGACGAGCACAUGGAAGCGUAUCUUACGGAGGUGUGCAGGAUGGAAAAGUAGUUUUGGGGGCUGGAGUUGCAGCAUGUGCCUCGUGGCACCAACCAAGAGGCUAAUGGCAUUGCUAGGAGGGCAUCCAAGCAGCUGCUGCAGGAGCCUGGCGUUUUCGAGGAACGGCUCUUCAAGCCAUCGGCAACGCUGUCACUGUCAAGCACAGCGCAACCUCGGGAGGAACCCCCUUAGCCACCUACCACAGGAGCCCCGGCUAGCGGCCCAACCUCGGGAGCACGCUUACUCCUGGCGCUGGAGCCUCAGGAGGGAUGUUGGACCACAGAGUUCAAGGACUACCUGAUGCAAGGGACGCUGCCAGAGAAAGAGGAGGACGUGGAGCGCGUGGCCCACCAGGCCACGGCCUACUGCAUCCAAGAAGGAGAGCUCUACCGGAAGCAGCCAAGUGAUGUUUCCCUGCGUUGCAUCUCUAGGGAACAGGGGAAGGAGUUGCUGGCUGACAUACACGAUGGAGAUUGCGGACACCACUCGUCGUCACGGACCCUCGUCGGCAAGGCAUUUCGCAGCGGGUUCUACUGGCCUACAGCAGUAAACGACGCAAUCGAGCUAGUGAAGGCUUGCGAAGCCUACCAAUUCCAUGCCAAGCAGAUCCAUCAACCAGCUCAGGGCAUGCAGACCAUCCCACUCUCAUGGUCGUGCGCGGUCUGGGGGCUGGAUAUCUUGGGCCCGUUUCCUCGAGCGCCUGGGGGCUACUGCUACCUCUACGUCGCCAUCGACAAGUUCACCAAGUGGGCGGAGGUGGAAGCUGUCUGCACCAUCCCAGUUGGCUCUGAAGUCAAGUCCAUCAAGGGCCUUAUGAGCCGAUUCAGGGUCCCUAAUCGCAUCAUCACCGACAACGGUUCGCGGUUCACCAACAAUCUCUUCAAAACAUAUUGUGCUAACCUUGGAACGCAGAUAUGCUACGCUUCGGUGGCACACCCCCGGAGUAACGGCCAGGCCGAACGUGCCAACACAGAGGUCAUGAAGGGCCUCAAAACCAGGACCUUCAAAAAGAAGCUGGAGGCCUGCGGCAGGGGCUGGUACGACGAGCUCCAGUCCGUGUUGUGGUCCAUCCGCACUACCGCCACCAAGUCGACUAGCGAGACCCCGUUCUUCCUCGUCUACGGAGCAGAGGCGGUCCUCCCUCACAAGGUCAGGCGUCGCUCCGCGCGGCUCCUAGCGUUUGAUGAAGAGCAACAGGACGCCACGCGGGGGAUGGACCUCGUGCUGGGGGAGGAGCACCGCCGAGAAGCUGCACUACGAGCAGCAAGAUACCAGCAGGCGCUGCUGUGGUAUCAUUGCCGCAACAUCCGCCCCAGGACACUCGAGAUAGGUGACCUCGUACUCAGGCGGGUGCUCUCUAGGGAAGGGUUGCAUAAGCUCUCGCCCAUGUGGGAGGGCCCGUUCAAGGUUGUCCAUGUUUCUAGGUCUGGCGCCGCGCGCCUGGAGACUCAGGAAGGGGUGCCCAUCCCAAAUGCUUGGAACAUUCAGCACCUCCGGAAGUUCUAUCCUUGAAGAAGGCCCAGUGCCUGUGAAGAAGGCCCGGUGCCUGUGAAGCUCGCCGCCCAAAGAAAGGCCCGGUGCCUGUGAAGCUCACCGCCCGUGACACUCUUACGUAAUAAUGAGUUGGGGUUGUACACGCCCCGGAGUCUCCGGAGUGCCGCCCUCGGGCCUCAGGGGCUCCCGCCCACGCCCAGUGGCAGCACUUAGCUCCACACUGGCGAGAAGACGUCGAAGACUAGACUAGGUGCCGGAUGCGGCUUUUCAUUUGCUUUCCGCAGUUGGCUUGUUCUCCCUUGUUUGAACCUUUAUUGAAGUUGCUUCUAGUGUUGUUUGCCGCCUUCUGCCCCUGUUCUCUGUUUUCGGCUUUUGUCUAGCUCGCUCUCUCUCUCUCUCUCUCUCUCUCUCUCUCUCUCUCGCAAAGCUUGCGAGGGGUCUGCGCGGGCGCCCUCGUGAGCCCUUUCUCGCCUGGUUUUCGUGAGGCUCCCUCGUUCAAGUUCAUAGCGGGAGCACCCCUCCCAGUUCAUGACCCUCGGGCAUCGCGACACAAAGCACCGGGCCGUAGACGGCAACCCUCGCGACUAAGGUUCAGAAAUGAUUCUCCCAACUGAUUUUUGCAGCUCUUAAGGCACCCGGUGAGGCCUCAAGCAGGUACCUCGCAAGGCGGAAACUACUGCAAACAUCCCGAGCUAAGUUGUUCCUACGCGCAGGCACAUAAACACGACACCAUCACACAACACAGAGACAAUGAGUGUAGCAUGAUAAUUAGGGGAUCAUAGUCUGUUGCAUGCCCUCACGGGGCUCCAUACUUCUCUCUCUCAACGCAGGAAAAGGAGAAAAGCAAAAUAAAAACAACACACAACUCGCGAGAAGGGAUCUGCGUCAUCCUCCUGAGGUCAAUCAGACUCCGCCUCGCGCUUCACCGGGGCGCGGCGACGGGACGACCUGCUACCACCCUCAAAGCGGGCGCGGCGGCGUGGUGGCUGAUCGCGGCCACCGCUGGAGGAGCUGUCGCCAGAGGAGGAGCCGCUGAAGCUCGAUGAGCUGCGGUCGCCGCCGGGAGCGGGCUCACCUUCGCCCCUCGUCACGGCCGUCGCCAAUCCAAGCACCUCGUCGCUGUCAUCGUCUUCAGGGCAGCACCCAGCACGGCAGCCAUCUUCUCCGAACACCCUCACAUAGGGCGUCGCAUCACUGUCGUACUUAAAGUGGAGGGAGCAUCGCCUGCCCAGGCCACGCGCGCGGGCAAACGCCAGCCAGCCCUAGGCCAGGGCCACGUUCCCGGUGACGGAAAUCUCCACCGCGACCAAGGAGGCCCUACUGCAGCAGCCAUCCGCCUGCAGCAAGAGCCCGCCGGGGCCAGCGGCCGACAGUUCACCGGCGAAGAAGCGAGGGAGCUGGAGCCAGUUGCUAGCCGGGUUGUCUGACUACACAACAACUCUGGCAGCACCUCCGCUGAAUGGAAGCGCGAUCGGGGAGGCCGCGCAGCCACGACACGCCUUCCUCCACCGACUGGGCUGGCUCGAUAUGGGCGGCCACCACCGCGACCAUGAGAAGCCGACGGGAGUCGCGGGACGCUUGAGGGGGCGGCCGCGGCCGCGCUUGGGCGAAGGAGAGCCAGGCCCUUUCUGGCGAGCCUUCCUCUUCUCCGCGGCCAAGAACCUCUUCACGGGCACCGUGCGAUGCUGCAAGCAACCGAGGCAAGGAGGGAGAAGAAGCAGUCGGGGCGAGGGGAGAUGUGCAACGGGGGCUUUCGCCCCUCCCCAUUUAUAUCUCAAGGGAGGCCAAUCGUUGGCCCCCACGAUCACAGGUAAUGAUGACUCUUUUUGCAUGCAACAGGGACUCGUCAAAUCGGGCAGUUGCAGAGGCAGCGUGGGGAAGCGGAGACGCCCGCGUCCAAUCAACCGCCACGCGGCAACCAAGGCCGCAGGCUAUUGGGGCCCGCAGCACACCGCACUUGCCCUUUGGCUUCGCUGCUAAGCCAAGUCCGAGCGCGCCUUGGGCCCGGGGCUACUGUCGGCGUUCUGGGAACGGGGGUCCCCAGACUUGCCUACCUGCGGCCUGCAGCGUGGCUCACCAGCGGCCCAGUACGGCCCGUCUUCUUCAACCCAAGUUCAAGACCCUCGCGAGGGGCCAUGCCUCGCGAGGCGAAUGACACAAGGCCUCAUCAGGGGCGGCCUCACCAGGCAGGCUCACGAGGAGGCGGAGAGAUCAAGGCGAGGGGUACCUCACGAGGUGCUGAUGACGCAAGCCAUGAUGAUCAAGACCAGGCUGGCGCCAGGCGGGCGCCAACCUGCGCAGUGUCCUUGUUUACUCUUUGGUGCAAAGGGGGCAAGCGCAGGCGUGGAGUACCGAGGCAUCAAUCAAAGGUUUCCAUAUCAGUGCAACGAGACCAAGACUAGCAGGACGGCAGGACGGAGGUCACCAUGGAGCCCAAGACGGCGUCAUCACCAGUGCCUUUGACAGUCGAAGACCACCUUUAGUCAGGAUAGCUUGUACUGGCUAUCCCCUUACAAAAUGGCCGUUGUUGGCUCCCUUCCUGUUCAAUAUUUGGGAAGAGGACCAGGGCCUCUAUAAAUAGGGCUAGCCACCACAGUAGAAGGCAUCUCAUCUAGAGCCAAUAGAGACGGAUCGACUCCGCUCCAAGCACACCACCACAAGAACACCUCUCCUCGCGAGGCUGUUCUUCCUCUAUACUGUUCAUCAUCAGCCCAAGAGGCAAUCCACCACACCACACACUUGAUUAGGGUAUUACACCCCAACAGUGGCCCGAACCAGUAUAAACCUUGUGUCUCUUGUGUUGUUCAUCAUGCUAGCUUAGAAUUGCGGCGAGGUUCUGGGCGUGUUUCGGUAGGGAGAAGAUCUUCGUGUGCACCCCAGAGUUCGAACCUUAAGGGUUUUGACGGAACCCGAUAUCUUUCAAUUUCUGGCCCACGGAACACGUCUGUCGUGCUCGUCCGCCUAGGCGAGACCCGUGCGUUGGGCCUGACAUGACCCGUUUAGUAUUGUGACGAUCCAUCUGGCAUGUGCGGGAUUCUUCGAAUUCGAGGCAAGGGAGGGGCACACGGGCCGUCUAGGCAUGUUUUGUUUUGCCCGUGAGGGUCAGUUUUGUCCCUUUUAUGCAGAAUUUCAAAAUUGUAGUCCAAAUUUUUUACUGUAAAGAGGGCUGCCCACCCCCUCAUUUCCCACACUCAAAUAUGACUUAUCACAACAAGUUCUCUACCUUCGUAGUAUCUGAUUUCUGGGUUGACAUACGCAACUAUGUCACAUCAUCCCCACCUUCGACAUCAUGUUGCGUGAAAUUGAUUGACGCCACAAAAGAUUUCAAGCACCCGAGAUUUAGCAAGACCAUAAUAUUUAUCCGCUGUGACACCUGGGCUCAUUUAUUAUUAUUUUUUGAGUUCUUUUUCUAAAUUUUUCCGACGUAAUUAUAAAUGGGCCUCCAUGUGCCAUGUCGUGCCAGGCCCAUUUAUGUCCAGGCCGUUGGCUACUGGAAAGCCGACCAAAAACCCUCUUUUCCCCCUCUGCUCUGCGCCGGAUAUACGGCUUCGGAAAACAAACAAAUAGCACACACGGCAACGAUUGAGUGGGUGAAGCGCGCCGUGUAUCUAGUUCAGAGCCGUUGGAAAGAGGCUUUUUGGCCGGCUUUCAACUCGAGAUCCGGUGACCAACCCAUCACAAUAGGCGGCGGCGAACGAGCGGGAGAAGCGCGAUGCCGCUCGCCGGGGCCAUCAAGUCCGCCGCAAUUCUUCUCCUUGUCAUCCUCUCAGCUGAGGGGCAGCCGUUCAAGGGCCUCAUGCCUAAGAACGGGAGAGUGGACUUGGUUGGCAACAAUGUCAAGGCGACGACCGAUACGGCAGUGAUGUGCUACCAGAGGAGCGCCGUCGACGAAGAAGCCAAGCCGAGCAAGAUGGUCGUUGACGUGGCCCUGCUCAACACGUAACAAGUGAUAUAAUCACGAAAAGUUAUGUCUGCUUCAAUCAACUUAACACGAGGUGUUGAAUAUAAUUGCUCAUAGGAGAUGGACUCCAUCAUUGCAGUGAAGCUGACACAGGCUCAGGACGUGGAUAGAUCUAUUUACGCUUCGCUCAUCAAGAAGAUUCGUUACCUUAUGUCCCUUCAUGAUUCUUGUAUUACUCAUAUCAAUCAUAGUCAAAAUAAGGUUGGUGAUAGUCUAGCUAAGUUUGCUCGUCUAGAAGGCAGAACCAUGACUUGGUUAUGUUCGUGGCCUCCGCGUUGGGGUUUGCAGCGAUUGAUUGUACCAACAUUGUUUUUUUUUAAGAAAGGCAAAAGAUUUGCCUCAUUCAAUAAAUAAGAGGAAUAGAGUUUAUGGUCGUGUUACAACACAGACAACACCGUAACAACCGAAAAAAGUGACCAACUACUCUCCCGUCAUCAAGUAUCCCAACUUUCUAGCACCCAUAGUUACCCAAAGCGUGGCCUCCUUGAUGUUGGCGAGAAGCACCGUCGGUGGAGCACUCUUCUGACGAAACACCCGCGCAUUCCUCUCGUUCCAAUUGUACCGACCUAGUGAUUGAGUAAUGCAUUAUUUCACCCGCAAAAAGAAAAAAACUUAACACGAGGCGCUAAAUAUCAUUGGUCAAAGCGAAAUUCACAACUGUAAGUCAAUUUUGGCAACAAGUUCACGUGUGCAAACAUACCAGGACGUGUCAAAUUUCAGCGUGAACGAAGUUUCGUGGAAAGUCCCACGAAGUAAAACCCAUCGGUGUACAAUUUCCUCAAUCAGAGACACACAUCCUCUGUGGCAAAGUGACGAAGCCAACCAUUUCAGUGAUACUAGGCAGAGCCAGCCACGCGCAUUCACUCACCAACACCAUCUUUUGAGUGCCGAAAGAGAACUGGAAUCGAGGUAGCUGCGAUAGGGUAGGCACUGGGUCUGGAGUUGAAGGCCGGCCGCCGUCCAAAAACCAUCUUUUCCCCCUGCUCGUCUCCAUCCUCCUCAGUGUUCCCACUUCUCGGGGCCGGAGAAGCACAAUGGCGUCGCUCGCCGGAGCCGCACUCGCCUCCUGCAGCAUCCUUCUCCUCCUGCUCGUCCCCUGCGCCCAGGGCCAGGGGCAACCACCCGAGGCGCCGGAGGAGGCUUGGGCCGAGGGGCAACCACCGGAGGCGUCGGAGGACGCUUGACGAUGCUCUUGUCCGAUGGCGGGUGCCGCGCCUUCUCCGGCCUCGUCGCCAUGACGGCCGGCGUGGGCGACGCGUUCCGUGAGCAGAUCGGCAGCGAUCUGGGGCUCACAAUCCUCUGCCCUGAGGACGAGGCGGUGGGGGCGUUCAUGCCGAGGUUCCAUAACCUCACCGCCGACGAGCAGGUCGCGGUUCUCCUGUACCACGGCCUGACGAUGGCUUACUCUGAGGCAGUGGCGGGGCCACCGUUGUAUGGUUGGAUGUAGUUGAACCCAACGAAACUUGGUAGCUACGUACGUAUCGGCAGGUAGUUUGUACGCCUGAACCCAGUAAAAAGAUUAGGCUGACCCCAUCAAUCUCGUGAACUGCCUCGGUGGAUAGGCUAAAACGGCCCAAAGGCCCAUAAGUAAAUUGCCUCGGUGCCCACAGCUACCCAGGUCUCUCAAUCGAUCCUCAAAAAAAAAAGGUCUCUCAAUCGUGAACUGUACACAUACGAUUCCUACGCAGCCGCCGCCACGCCUUUACUCGUUCAAUUCGCCAAUUCACCUCUGGCCUCUCUCCUCUCGUCUCUUCUGUUCGUCCAUCCAUCCAUCAUCAGAACCCAGCGGCAAGCCGUCAAUUCAAUUCCAAAUUGAAGGUACAGACUUGUGAGAUUGCAGUUCUGUCUAGCAUAAUAGUCUAGUACCAUGACAAUAUUUCUGCUGUAGUUUGCUAAUGUACAUCACGGACUUUGAUUGAUCCAGAUGAUGGAACAAUAUUCUUAAAAGAGGAAUCGAUCACCACAUCAAGACAAAGAUGCAGACAUGUUAAGAUGACCUGUUAGAUGUAGGCAAAAUUCAUCAAAUAUGUCAUUGCAAUUAGUCUUCUCACACAUUGGAGGAAUUAAUUUGGAUCAGUUGCCUAAUGAUCCAACGGAUUGGCAGAGAAUUUCAUAAUACACAAGUAAACGCCAGGAGCAAGUUGAGAUUACACGCAAAUAUUUAACUGUGGGAAUUAGAAACCACUGGCUAAGUUUGAUUAUCCACAGAGAGAAAUUUGAAGAUACUCAACGGCGAUUUAAUGAUGCCAAAGAAAAGCGGUGCAACAAAAUGGGUGAACGGUUUAUAAAUGAUUGUCUAAUUUGCUAUGGGAAGAAAUAUAUGUUUUCUACCAUUCGUAAUGAUCCAGUGUUUGGUCUUUUUAAGAUAAUGAGACAAAUAAAAAGGAGACACUCUAAAAUAUGAGCAACUUUACUUCUUCUUUUUUGGCUUGAUGGUACUUAUAUUAAACUUGUCAAACUAACUUGUCCUGUGUUUACUGUUUUCAGAAAGAUGAGGAGCUAUGAAGUUAUUUGGGUACUAAUUUAUUUAUAGUAUCUAAACAAGUGGUUUUAGAAUUUCACCCAACUGGUAUGUCUUAUACUCUUCAACUAUUAACAUAGCAAAAUAUGUAGUAGGUACUAUCAUAUUUCUAUUUGUUUUGUUAUUUUGGGUGUUGUAAGAUGGUGUAAAAUAGCUUUUAUGCUUAACUAAUUCGUAUCAAAUCCUCAUGAGUUAACAAGUGAACCCAAUGACUAAAUUUUCUGGCUCCGCCCCUGCUCUGAGGAGCUGCUCAGCUGGGUGACCUGGGUCCACGGGGAGUUCUCGACGCUUGAUGGGGAGGAUAUGCUCACCAUCCGUCACCACAGAGGCAGGCUGAUGCUUUCUUCGUGGCCGCCGUCGUCACGUAACAAGACCAGGAUCACCAAGACGGUCGUCGACGACGACCAUCUCGCCGUCUACCUCAUAGACGCCGUGCUGAUUCCGGCAGAUCCCAAGCGUCAAAGAGUUGUGGCACUUAUCAUCAUUAUUCUGGUACUCGUUGUCGGCGUGCUCGUGGCGUUGUGAGUUUUCUUUCCUCACACUUAAUUCCGCUACGAUCAAAUGGAAGCAAUCAGUUCAUGCAAUUUGUUGGCGCACUAGCUCGAUCUUGUUCCGCUUCCGCCCCACAGAGUUUUGAGCGCCUUCGAGCUGGUGCUAGAGGAUUCUAUCUAUGUAUAAAUCGUAUACUAGUACAGCUAGUCGACAAUAAUUUAGAUUUGGGCUUUCUGUACAUAUAAGUCAAUUUAAUGAACAUUGUUAAUUAGUUUUUACGGGUAUAUUUUAAUACAAACCCCACCGUUAGUUUUUACGGGUAUAUUUUAAUACGGCUGCUUGAAUUGCUCCAGCUUUUCUAAAUCUUGAUUAUGUACGCUAAUUGUAGUAUCUGUUAUUAUUAUUUUGCGGGUGGCUAACUGUAUCUAUGUUUCCCCUGCAGAUUCUUGCUGUUUCAUGUAUAUCUUGGUUCUCUUGUGUGCCGGCUGACAAGGUGGUGUAAGGAUCGCGCUGCUGCCUACGCUUCGGCCGCCCGUGUCACUCCACAUGGGCAAGGGCAACAAGAACAUUAGCCUAUGGCCGCUUCGGAGUGCCUCGCCUCCUCGGGUCAUUCCCUCGUACUUAUUUCCGUUUGUGGUGACAGAUUUCACGGUUGUUUUCUCCGUCUUCGAUGUAUAUAGUGGUGUUCAGCGGGGCGGUGGGAUGGUCAGUUGAUGAAACUGCAGGAUCUAGAUCGUGUUAUUUUUCUAUGCA